UUUAGAGCAGCUUUAUUUAUUUUGUAUGAAAAAAAGGAACAUGAAAGAAAACCCAAUCUCGGUAUAUAUCAAAACAUGUAUAAGCCGCCCGUGAAGUGGAAUCGCAUCCCAAUCCACAUAGUAUUUAGUUGUAGGCGUCGGGGUUGGCGACGAGGUAGGCCUCGGCACCCUUGAAAAUGGCGGUGACUGCCUCCUUGGCCUUGACUUCCUCGCCCUUCACGUCCACACCCGGCAGCAGCUUGUAGGUCGACUCCACCUUCACCACGCUGCCGCCGCCGGCCGCGGGCUCCACCUUGAUGUGCGACGCCGCGGUCUCGACGGCCACGCCGAUGCCGCCACCCUCGACGAGCGUCGACUUGCACUCGCAUUUGUCCACGUCCAGGGACUCGAGCUUCUCCUUCAUGAAGCUGAACGGCAUGACUGCAAGAGCGAUCGAUCCCACAUCAGGCGCUUGCUGUUUGAUCAUCAUGUUGGUCUGGGCAACACUUACAUGAGGUGAAGUUGAACUGCCUGACGCUGCCAACACCGCCGUCGCCCUCCACGGGAUGGGCGCUUGUGACGACGUGAGAGGCGACCUUGGGCGCCAGGUUGUGCCAGUCCAUCACGGCGGCGCGGAACAGGCGCGGCGCGGCCACCGGCGACGGGAUCUCUAGGGUCCAGCUGUUGGAAGCCAUGCUGGUGGUGGUCUGGGAUGAGCUUUGGCUCGGUGCCUAGGCCUAGUUUGAUACUAGUAGCUGGAGCUGCUGCUUGUGUUGCUGGAACGAGCGGCAACAAGGUAUUUAAAUAGAGUGCGGUGAGCGCGGGGUUGGUGACGCUUUGCCCGGUUGGUGUCCGGUGGUGACUGGUGAGGGCCUCAAGUUGCUGGGCGAGUCGUCGGGCUUUUCCACAAUGGAUGGCUCUGUCGGUCGAGUGAGCUUUUAGUAAGGCGGGCGUCGAAACACACGUCUUGCACGGUCUUUGUCAAAACACGAGGAUAUAUUCGAGGAGUAUGUUGACGGAAUUGGCGCCACCUUCCGCUUGCACAAUUUGGUCUUUGGUAUAUAAAAGUAGUAUGUAAUGACUGUCAGAGUUCUAGAUAUUUGACUGCAUGUCUGCAUGCUAGGAUAACUUCCAUUCUAGAACGAUAUGAGGCCCUUGACUAACAUGAAUACAUCAUCUUUUGAAUUUAGACAUGAGAAGACUUAAAUUUUGUUUGACAUAACUCAACUUUAUUUUUGAAACUGCUUUUUUUAAAUAGCUCUACGUGCAACUUUCUCGGUAUUAAAAAGUUAUUUUAUAAAAUAGCUUCACUAACAACUUUAUGUAUGGUUGAGAGAGAGAAAUGAAAGAGCGCUUUGAAAAGUUAUUUUUAGCUCUAUUUUUCUGUGAGAGCAUAAAAAAGGUGUUUGACAAAAAACAACAACAACUCACAACAGCUCAUGAAGUUGUUGGUUAAACCGUGUCACAUAGAGCCUCACUUGCUGUCGACGAAAGCUGGUCGGCAGUCUACCUUGGGGUAUACCCACGGUAGUAGUUUAUUGGUAGACGGUGCGCAAACUACGAACUCGACGGUGACGCAAGACUCGGACAAGCUUUUUAUCCAGGUUCGGCCGCCGAGUUGGCGUAAUACCUACGUCCUGCGUCUGGUUGUAUUGAUUUGUGUUGAGAGAAUAUCCUGUCCUAGGGGGGUCCCUUGCCCCUCCUUAUAUAGUCUGGAGGGCAGGGUUACAGAUCUGGAAACUAAUCCUAGUCGGUUACAAUUGUCAUAGAUAGUUCGAUAUCAAUUCCUAUUCUAACCGACUAGAAUCCUGCUUGAUCUCCACAUCUUGCUUCCUUGCGCGAAACCCCAUGCUGUCGGAUCAAGCCUUGAACUCGUCUCGUAAUGGGCCAAGCCUCCUGGCCCAAGUCUAGCCAUAAGGGUAUAGGGGUCUAUCCCCCCACACUUGCUGACAGUGAUGCCACCUUUUUCUUCUUAUCUCAUCCCUUAUGGAUCUUUUAUGAGAAACAUCUUGUUUAAUUUAUAAAAAAACUACCCUUUUUUUAAGUGACUCCUUCUUGCUCUAGCGAGAUCUUUUACCGUUGUCGAAAUGGUAACAUGAUGUACCACUCAACAUGCAUGAGAGGUAAACCACGGUACCUUUAGGACUAAUAGUUUUGACACCUACAGUACCAAACUCAAGUUAUAUAGUUUUGAUAACUUACCAAGGAUAAUAAAAAAAAACUCCUUACAAAUGCCUUCUAUGGCUUCUUAUAGGCACUUGUUAUGAUAUAAGGACACAACUAUGACAAUUAAGGAAUGGUGGGCAUCCUUAUUGAAGGUCCAUUUGGACUUUGGAUGCAAGGGGUAAUUGGUAGUUAGCUAAGAAUUAGCUCCCGUGUAUCUAAAUAGGAAUAUAUGUGCUAAUUUUUUAAUUAGCCAAGUUUUCAGCUAGUCGUUAGGCAAAUAGCUAGCCAACUAUAAACUAAUUUAGACUAAUUUUUAGCCCCAACUAAUAACUAGUGUAUCCAAAUAGAGUAGAAUUGUAAAAGAGAACGAUGGUAGUUCUAGUGUACUAUUUUUAGGAUGUCUACAAAUAACAAAAUAGAAGGGCUUUGCACGGAAAGAUGAAUUGACUCUAAAAAAGAAGGCUUGUGGCAAACCUAGUUUAGGCUUUUCAUUUCGCUGAAAAUACACUGAAAAGUACUGUUCACUGAUUUGUUGUGAGAGAAAAAUCCUGUAUCAUGACUGAUAAAUCUAAUGUCAUUGUUGUAUUCUUUUGUAACUUAAAUUUGCAAAAAUCUACAUUUUCUUUCUUUUUUAAAAGAAAAUGGACAGACAAGAGAGCUACCUUUUAUAUAGUACAGUCAGGCUUCUCCUUACGUGACCUGUCAUUUCUUAAAAAGAAAUGCAAGCUCGGUUGAUAAGGGUUUAGCCGUUUGAGGCCGCCGUUGAGCAUCACUUUUGUCUAAACUCAGAAAAUGAACUAAAAGCUGCUGUGAAGAGAUUUCGUGGCUUAUGAUUUGUUCUGGAAGCUAAAAAAAUAUUACAAAAUUCAAUAAUGAAAAUACAACAGUCAGAAGCCACAAAAUCAGCUUUUAUGUCAAAAGUACAAAAGAUACCGCUCAAACAAACAAGCCCUUAAAUGUCUUCUUCUCCCAGCUCUCUAGUGAACGCUAUAGCUCUUGGAGCUUUCAUAUUUUCCAUAAUAAUUUUAAACACUCUACCAAUAUCUACUGAAAAUGUAUCGAAAAAAUCAAAAUAUCUAUUAGAAAUGAGCAAAAUUAUCGGUCAAACUUGCAUAGAAUUCGAAAACAAAAUGCCCCUAUUCUUCCCACACAUAAAACCAUUGUAUACCCAUUUUCUGUCCCUUCUUCUUUCAAGAAAGUCAUUGUAUACCCAAAUAGUUUUCCAUCCGCCCUAUUUAUAGUCCAGUUUAUCCAGUUUUUGGUAAAACCUAGCCUAGCCCGUAGGAUUUAUCUACAACAGUUUCUAACCCACAGGUACCAGCGGUUUCCCUCCUGAUCUUCCCCAAUCGCCCACUUGCAACACCACGUUGCUCAUUGUUAACUUACUCUCCACGGACCUGUCCGCUCGUCGCGCUCGCCUCGAGCCGUCCGUGCGCUCUGGAGAUCCUAACUUUAUAUAUGGCCAUGCAGCCCAUGGCCCGGUGGCCCGGCCCAUGGCCUGACGAUUUGGCACGGCCCGAGGGACCCUGCCUAGGCCACCACCUAUGCACGCGACAUGGCCCAAGCAUGGCUUUAUCCAACGGUUGGCCCGGUAGCGGCUCGGUGAAAAUAAACUGUUGUGUAGUUGUGACUUAUAUAUAUAUGUGCCGUUAAUUGUUAUAUUGGAGAAAAUGAUGAACAAUUGGUGAAAAUGAUAAAGUGUUUUAGCACUUAGUGAAAAUGUUAAUGAAAAUGAACUGUUUUCGGCUAAACGGGUCGUGGGCUGGCACAAUACGAGAAAAACGCCAUGCUUGACGGGCCGACACGACACGAAAACCGGCCCAUAGGCCGUGCCUUAGGCCGAAGGCUAUGCAUGAAGUCCAUGGAGGCACGACCCGCAGCACGACACUGCAUGACGUUGGACAUAUAUAAUCCUAAAGCAGGACGAUUAGAAGGAAGAAGAUGGGGGUCUCCACCUGUCGUGCAGUGGAAUUCUCGUGCCUCCCCGUGCAUGGCCACGGUGCCACCAUUGACCACACGAGCGCGGCGUGGUGUGCGUCCGAAGAUGUUGUGGCUGGCGUUGAAGACAACCUCGAAGUUGUGCCUCUGUCCUCCAUUGGUGCCCAUGGGUACGCUGUUGAGCGGCGCUGGUGCCCCCUUCGUCGGCACGGGAGGAAGAACACGACCAAGUUUAACGAGUUGAGUGGUGUGGAAACGUCGCAAACCAACACGCGUGGUUUCUCCUGACACGGUUUACCGUGGGCUGAUUCACGGGUACACGGUUAGUAUACAUAUAUAUAGGGGGUGUUUGGUUCAAAAAAUGCAAAUGUCAAUUACUUUGUAAUGAUGGAAUGUAAAAGGUCAAACUUUUCAUGGUUAUGUUUAGUAAUGCAGAAUUUAUUGUCUUUAUAAGGGCCUCUUGAGGUUCUUUUGGUGUGUUUUUUUGCCUCUUGAGGUCAAAAUCUAAAAUAAAGAAUAAUUAUUUUUUUGCUAAAAAUUUUGCAUGCUGUUUAGUUAUAUUAUACAGAACAAUGGACCAAAACCAAGAAUUUUUUAGAAUAGCAGGGGAAAACACCCAUAAUCGCACAACGACAGCAUGCUACAUACCACUCAUAACAUCUCAAGUCCACACACCGCACACUGCUUAGAGCAGCUUUAUUUAUUUUGUACGAAAAAAGGAACAUGAAAGAAAAAAAAUCCAGUCUCUGAAUAUAUCAAAACAUGUAUAAGACCACCCGUGAAGUGCAAUCGCAUCCCCAUCCACAGAUUUAGUUGUAGGCGUCGGGGUUGGCGACGAGGUAGGCCUCGGCACCCUUGAAGAUGGCGGUGACUGCCUCCUUGGCCUUGACUUCCUCGCCCUUCACGUCCACACCCGGCAGCAGCUUGUAGGUCGACUCCACCUUCACCACGCUGCCGCCGCCGGCCGCGGGCUCCACCUUGAUGUGCGACGCCGCGGUCUCGACGGCCACGCCGAUGCCGCCUCCCUCGACGAGCGUCGACUUGCACUCGCACUUGUCCAUGUCCAGGGACUCGAGCUUCUCCUUCAUGAAGCUGAAUGGCAUGACUGCAAGAGCGAUCGAUCCCACGUCAGGCGCUAGCUGUUUGAUCGAUGAUCAAGCGAGAGAACAUCAUGUUGGUCUGGGCAACACUUACAUGAGGUGAAGUUGAACUGCCUGACGCUGCCAACACCGCCGUCGCCCUCCACGGGAUGGGCGCUUGUGACGACGUGAGAGGCGACCUUGGGCGCCAGGUUGUGCCAGUCCAUCACGGCGGCGCGGAACAGGCGCGGCGCGGCCACCGGCGACGGGAUCUCGAGGGUCCAGCUGUUGGAAGCCAUGGCUGGUGGUCUGCGAUGAGCUUUGGCUCGGUGCCUAGCUAGGUCUAGUUUGAUUAGCUGAUGCAAGUAGGUGGAGCUGCUGCUUGUGUUGCUGGAACGAGCGGCAAAAAGGGAUUUAAAUAGAGUGCGAUGAGCGCGGGGUUGGUGACGCUUUGCCCCGUUGGUGUCCGGUGGUGACUGGUGAGGCCUGAAAGUUGCUGGGCGAGUCGUCGCGCUUUUCCACAAUGGAUGGCUCUCCGUCGGUCGAGUGAGCUUUAUUAAUAAGGCGGGCGUCCAAAACACACGUCGUUGUCGCACACUCUUUGUCAAAACACGAGGAUAUAUUCGAGGAAUAUGUUGACCGAAUUGGCGGCUUGCCGCCACCUUCCGCUUGCACAAAUUGGUCUAGGUCUUAAAAACAAGCCAUGUAUGUCACAUUUGGUUGGUAUAUACAAGUAGUAUGUAAUGACUGUCAGAGUUCUAGAUAUUUGACUGCAUGGAUGUCUGCAUGCUGGAUAACUUCCAUUCUAGAACGAUAUGCCUUGACUAACAUGAAUUCAUCAUCUUUUGAAUUUAGACAUGAGAGGACUUAAGUUCCGUUUGACACAACUCAGUUUUAUUAUCGAAGCUGUUUCUUUAGAUAGCUUUAUGAGUAACUUUCUUGGCUGAGCUAUUUUAGAAAAUCAUUUUGUAAAAUAGUUUCACUAACAACUUUAUGCAUGGUUGAGAGGGGAAAAUGAGAGAGCUUUUUGAAAAGUUGUUUUUUAGUUCUACUUUUCCGUGGGAGCAUAAAAAAGGUGUUUGACAAAAGAAAAGAGUAAAGUCCAUCACCAGUCUCUAAACUUGUUUAGGUAUAUCAUCCCGGUCUCUAACUCGCAAAACGAUCGUUUAGGUACCUAAACUUGUUCGGCUAUAUCACUCUGGUCCCUAAACUUGGAAAUCUCAUAUAUAGGCCUUCAAACUUGUUUAGUUGUGUCAUCCCAGUCCCUAAACUUGUUUUUAAGUCUCGUCUGGUUCAAAACGGAACGAAUCUAAAAACUCUAUAAAUAACUCAUAACUUUUUCAUAUAAACUCAAAUAAAGAUAAACUUUAUAUUAAAAUUAUAGCCAACAAUGUGAUCUACAACUUUGUAGUUAAAAAGUUUUUAAACUAAAAUAAUUUAGGGUCUCAUUUUUUUGUAAGUUUAUUAAAUUUUGUGACACUAAAUGACUUCAAAUAAAAAACUUUUCAACUACAAAGUUAUAGAUCACAUUGAAGGCUACAACUUUAAUAUAAAGUUUGUUUUCAUUCAAGUUUAUAUGAAAACGUUAUGAAUUAUUUUUCUAUAUAGAGUUUUUAGAUCGCUUUGUUUUGACCCAGGUGAGACUCAAGACCAAGUUUAGGGACUGAGAUGACACAACUGAAUAAAUUUAAGGACCUAAAUGGGUAAUUUCUAAGUUUAGAAACCAGGAUGACACAUCUGAACAAGUUUAGAGACCGGAAUGAUAUAGACAAACAAGUUUAAUGACCUAAAUGAUCAAUUUAUGAGUUUAGGGACCGAUCGAGGUGAUACAACAGGUGGUGGAUUUUACUAUAAAAACUCACAACAACUCAUGAAGUUGUUGAUGAAGCUGUGCCAAAUAAGGCCUCACUUGCUGACGGUGUUGUCACCCUUUUCUUCUUAUCUCACCCUUUACAGAUCUUUUACAAGAAACAUCUUGUAAACAAAUCGUUGUCACCCUUUUUUUUUUGUUGAGUGACCCCUUCUCGCUCUAGCAAGAUCUUUUGCCGUUCUUCAAAUGGUAACAUGAUGUACCACUCAACAUGCAUGGGAGGUAAAAAAAAUGGUACCUAGGUACUAAUACUUUUGAUAGCUACAGUACCAAACUCAAGUUAUAUAUAGUUUUGAUACCUUACCAACGAUAAAAAAACUCCUUACAAAUGACUUCUAUGGCUUCUUAUAGACACUAGUUGCUAUAUGAUAUAAGGACACAACUAUGACAAUUAAGGAGUGGUGGGGUCUUUAUUAAAGGUUUGUUUGGACUUUGGAUACAAGGCGUAAUUGCUAGUUAGCUAAGAACUAGCUCGUGUAUCUAAAUAUGAGAGUUAAUAGGUGAGUUACUUUUAUAGUCAUUUUUUUUACUAGUCGUUAGUCAACAACCAGUAACUAGCCAUGUGUAUCUAAAUCUCCUACAACUAAAAAGAACAAAACGUGGAUACUUUUUGGUGCGACAUUCUAACGUGGGCCCAUAGUCCUGCCUGCUGCGUUCCCGUGGCCACUCUACAUCGUGCAUGACAUCCCUUGCGAUAUUCAAUUCAAAUCAAGAAUCGAUAUGUCAGGUUCCAGUUUUUAUACGAUUGCCAUAUGAAGCCUUUCCGCCAAAAGCCGUCCGACCACGGUGAAACAAAAAUAAUAAUAAAAUCUGCCCCAAUUCACGGACGGGUGACCAACGUGGCCAUGCAUGAAAGAAAUCGUCUAAAAAAUACUCAACUUUCCAUCUCUUCCGCUCCCUUUUCUUGAGAAAAAUGGUCAACCAUCGUGCAACUAAUCAGGAGACCAUCCCACCGAUCCCGCGUGCACAGCUGGCGGAAGCCCCUCGCGCGGUCACAAUCUCUCCUCAAUCAUGCACGGACAUCGCGUUCCUUAGGCAAAAGCAGAAAUUCCUCUCGAUCAUGCGCCGCCGCAACGAAACAUCUUCCUUUCCUGCCCGACGCCCUCGCUCUCGGUGCUUGGAGAGAUCGAGCCGAGCAUACCGGCUUCCCCUGAAGGCUUGAGACGGACACAGUUGACUGCUUCUUCGUCAUUGAUUGUCGCCAGCAACUGCGCCCUUGGCAUCGGUGUGGCCUUGCAAGAUUGGAUCUUUUUGUUUUCAUCCCAAUCAUCGCCAUGGCGGCCUCCUCCCCCUGAACGAUGAACGCAGCUGCUUCGUCAUUGAUGAUCAGCUUCUGACCCUUCACCAAUCUCUAUCCCCUAUUAUUUGUUCCAUCAUCUGUUCCACUUUCCACGAUUGAUUCAGUACUGGUGUUGCAAACUUAUUUCGAUUCUCAAAAAGCGAACAACCUGAUCGGUUUGGUAAGCAUCUUUCUAUUCCAGGCUAUCGAAGCUCUCAUUAAGCUUUUUGAUUCAGUUUGUGCCAAAGGUACGUUCUUGGCAAAUGCGAGCUGGCACCAUGAAGCAAAUUAUAGCUAUUGGAGUCCAGUAGAUAAUAUCUUGUGUGAUCUCCUUGUUCUUAAAUAGUGUAAUUUAAGAAAAAACUUAUUCAUGUUUGUUCUCUUCGACCUUUUUAGAUACAAGACACAGAUUAUUAUAUUGAUAUCAUAAUUGGUUGUGGCAUUGAGGUGUGUAAAUUUAUGCUUUUCUCUUUUCUGUCGGUGUUUAAACUCUCUUCUGAAUUCAUGCCAUCCAUUGACUCCAGGUGAGAAACACCUCCUGUUGUUUAAUUGUUUUUUUGCUCUUGCUUUCAGUAUGAAUAGUCAAAUAUAGUCAAAACAAUAACCUGGUUCAGUAGUAAUAAGGAAUCAAGCUAUUGCAACACUUCUUGUCAAAAAAAUGCAGCACUUCUAGAGUUGCUACGGGUUUUAAAAUUCUCACUUGCUGCACAUUAGGAGACGAAAUUCUUGGUUUCAGUUAGCAGAGUGACACUUAUCACUGUUAUCUAUAAGGCAAAUCUAACAACAUAGCACAGAUUGUGGACAUCAGUUUUUUUUUAGAAAGUGGACAUUGUGGGCGGCUGAGCGGGCACCUACGGGUGGGCGCGGCCGGCGUCAUGGCCAGCUCUGGGCGGGCGCGGGGUGGGGGAGGGGGGUGAUCAAGGCUGAAUCACAGGAAGGUUUCCUUUUAGGUGCUGUUAGCUUGGUUGGCUAAUCCCACACGCUUGAGGAGUUGCCUCUAGGAGGGGGCUGAAAUCACUUGGAGUUUCUUUUGAAUAUCGCAACGGGUGGAAAUAUUGAUCACGAAAAAAGUGGAAACAAAUAGCACCUUGGCUCUUUCCUUUUGAAUAUAGCAAAGGAUGCUGUAGGUGGGCGACGACGUUGUAGGCUCACAAAAUCACUGUCGUUUGCAAUAACAAAUACCUAUGAUUUAACUAUUUCUAUAUAUUGCUGAUCAUGAAUCUUCCUACAGGUACUUAAGUGGAUUUCUCAUCCUACAAUAUAUGUCUACAUGGAAUAGACCAAAAGCCACACAUAUUUAUACAGUGAGUCUAACACUUUGUCUAAGUUUUUGUAAAAGUUUUUUAACAAAAUAUAGUAUUACCCAUGCGACACACACUAAUAUUUACAUAUAUAUACUCGAAUGUGUGACAGGAUGGUACGAAGAUGCGGCAGAAUUUAUUUGUGGAUUUACUGGCACAUGAAAGAAAUGGAUAUCCGAGAUAUCUUCCCGUCGAUAUUAAACAUUAUCUUAGCCGUAUCACGGAAAGGUCUAUAAAGUAGAGUUUGUGAGCCUACAACGUCGUGCUCUUCGUGACUGUGUUUGAUUUCACAAACAUUGCGAUCCUACAAUGUCAUUUUCAAGUUGUUAUUUAAGUAGAAGAUUCUAAUAUUAUUAUCUUGUUAUGCGAUCUAUGUAUUUUAAAUAAAAAAUGUUAGCUAUCCCGUAGCAACGCACGGGCAUGCUAUCUAGUAGAGUAGAAUUGUAAAAGAGAACAAUGGUAAUUCUAGUGUACUAUUCUUGAGAUGUCUAGAAAUAACAAAAUAGAAGGGCUUUGCACGGAAAGAGGAAUGUACUGUGAAAAACAUGGCAUAACUUAUGCCGAGGCUGUUCGUUCCGUUAAAAAAAUAAGUUGAAAAGAAAGUAAUGUUCACUAAUUUAUUGUGUGAGAAAAAUAUUGUAUCAUAGCUGAUAAGUCUGUAGUGUCAUUGUUAUAUUCGUUUGUAACAUAAAUUUGCAAAACUCUACAUUUAACAUUUUCUCUUUUUUUUAGAAAAAAAUGGACAGACACGAGAGCUACCUUUUAUAUAGUACAGUCAGGCUUCUCCUUACGUGAUUGAGCAAAGCUCGGUUGAGCAAACAAGGAUGACACAUCUGAACAAGUUUAGAGACCGGAAUGAUAUAGACAAACAAGUUUAAUGAUCUAAAUGAUCAAUUUAUGAGUUUAGGGACCGAGAUGAUACGACAGGUGAUGGAUUUUACUAAAAAAACUCACAACAACUCAUAAAGUUGUUGAUGAAGCUGUGCCAAAUAAGGCCUCACUUGCUGAUGGUGUUUUCACCCUUUUCUUCUUAUCUCACCUUUUACAGAUCUUUUACAAGAAACAUCUUGUAAACAAAUGGCUUAACUCUUUUUGUUGAGUGACCCCUUCUCGCUCUAGCAGGAUCUUUUGCCGUUCUUCAAAUGGUAACAUGAUGUACCACUCAACAUGCAUGGGAGGUAAAAAAAUGGUACCUAGGUACUAAUACUUUUGAUAGCUACAGUACCAAACUCAAGUUGUAUAUAGUUUUGAUACCUUACCAACGAUAAAAAAACUCCUUACAAAUGACUUCUAUGGCUUCUUAUAGACACUAGUUGCUAUGAUAUAAGGACACAACUAUGACAAUUAAGGAGUGGUGGGGUCUUUAUCAAAGGUUUGUUUGGACUUUGGAUACAAGGCGUAACUGCUAGUUAGCUAAGAACUAGCUCGUGUAUCUAAACAUGGGAGUUAAUAGGUGAGUUACUUUUAUAGUCAUUUUUUUGACUAGUCGUUAGUCAACAACCAGUAAUGUGGGGGUAUAAACCCCUAUACCCUUACGGCUAGACUUCGGCCAGGAGGCUUGGCCCAUUACGAGACGAGUCCAAGGCUUGAUCCGACAACCUGGAGUUUCGCGCAAGGAAACAAGAUGUGGAGAUCAAGCAGGAUUCUAGUCGGUUAGAAUAGAAAUUGAUAUCGAAUUAUCCAUGACAAUUGUAACCGACUAGGGUUAGUUUCCGGAUCUGUAACCCUGCCCUCCAGACUAUAUAAGGAGAGGCAAGGGACCCCCCUAGGACAUCAUAUUCUCUCAACACAAAUCAAUACAACCAGACGCAGGACGUAGGUAUUACGCCAACUCGGCGGCCGAACCUGGAUAAAAAGCUUGUCCGUGUCUUGCGUCACCAUCGAGUUCGUAGUUUGCGCACCGUCUACCGAUAAACUACUACCGUGGGUAUACCCCAAGGUAGACUGCCGACUAGCUUUCGUCGACAGUGGCGCGCCAGGUAGGGGGUGUGCGUGCAACUUUUCCGGCGAACAAGAUGGUCACGAUCCCAGCUUCCGCGACCGUGCCCGAAGGCCUCACGUUCACCGUCGGCCAGAUCACGUGGACGGCGUGCAGCGGCGGCUUCACGACCACGGUUUCGGAAGAGAUCCAGAUCCAAUCUGAGUUCACGCCGUCUCCGACCACACGCAUGACGGCACCAAGCGCCCGACCACCGUUCCCACUCUACAAGGGAAAGGAGAUCGACUGCUCGGACCUUCUCCAAGCGCUUGAUCGCGCUGACUCCAAGCUACUCGAAGUUUCCCAACUAAUAGAUGGAGUUCUGCGUCGGCCCGACCAAGCUGCUCCAGCGGAUUUUUUCAAAUCCCGCCGGCCAACUCGUGUCGCCACACACGAACGGCUGGGAACGUCUCUGACGAUAACCUCAACCCCCUCAGGACGAUCCGUCCAGCUCAAGAAGGAAGACUAUCCUUGCGGCCUGAACAACUCGACCUCUGUUUACUCACGGCACACCCAAUCCGUUUUCAGCAAGGCGGGUUGGUCGCCGACAACGAACAAUCGUCACCACGUCAACAUGGUGACAAUCCGAGAACUACGGGACGGCCAGGCUUCCAGCACCAACUCAAGCACCGGCUCCGUCCCCACCGAGGUUAUAAACACCGAAGACGAGGACUAUGACCUGGAUUUCCCUUCAUACCCUCCGGGUUUCGACCGAUUCCCGAUAUUCCCCCCCCGGCGAGGGGAUAUUGUGUUCAAUGUCAGCGCCGACGAACCGGUCGUUGAUGGAGAAACAGAUGACCAGAGGCAACUCCGCGAACGGCGUAACGCCGAUCGCGCCCGACGACGCGCGGACGAGCAACAACAAAUGCCACCAAAUAAUCUCAACGAUGCCUUUGACAUGGUCGGGGACCAGCCAGUCUACAAAACGCCAAGCGCCAACGUGGCUGUCGCCAUGGCUAACCUGGAUCGGCUUCCCGACACCCCCGAAUGCCAGGGAGUCCGGACCAGCAUCCGAGCACACCUGAUCGCCGCAAUGGGACAGACGGCCACUCUGCUCAAGAGAGUCUAGGACGUCUCUUAUACGGAAGCCGUCUCCGACCAGACUAAUCAUAGCCGGGCCUCACCCAGCAGGCGUCACCGCAGCCGCUCCCCCGACAACCGUCGAGGGGACUCACGGCGCGACGAUGGUGGUCGGGACGCCGAUGGCCGCCGCAAGCAGAACCGCGUACGCGGCCAAGAGGAAGAUCAACACAGGGAUCUCCGCCACAACAUCCCUUCCAAAGAUGCCCGGGACCACAUCAACAGGCGCGCUGCAGAGAGAGCAGUCCACGAAAACCUGCGCCGCAUCGAGUACGAUGCAACACACGGUCCCCCGGGCCUAAGACAGUUCUCCUCGCACCUCCGCCAGGUCGUGUGGCCCCGCAAUUUCAAGCUCGAAAAACUCAAAAAGUACGACGGCAAGGAAAAUCCAGAGAACUGGAUCACCCUCUAUGACAUCGCCGUCCGAUCAGCGGCAGGGGACGAGCACGUCAUGGCUAACUACUUCCCCGUAGUCCUCGACCAGGCUGGUCAUCAGUGGCUUCUCGGCUUGCCCGAGGACUCCUUCGACUCUUGGGAAGAGCUACGCCAGGCUUUCAUCGACAACUUCAUCGCCACAUGCGAGCAGCCUGGAAACAAGUAUGACCUUGAAAGGAUAAGGGACAGGAAGAACGAACCUCUGCGCGAUUACAUCCGACGAUUCUCGGAUAUGCGCCUCAAAAUCCCGAAGAUUUCUCAUGACGAGGCCAUCUCAGCCUUCAUCAAGGGCCUGCGUUUCCACGAAGCGCUGAGGAACAAGCUGUUGCGUAAGCGUCCAACAACGGUAGCAGAGCUCCUCGCCACGGCCAAAAAUUACGCCGAUGCCGAUGACGCAGAAAAACUAAUCCGAGACGAUGCGAGGGGUCCCGACCAGCCUCCCCGACGAGAUGAUGGUCGUGGUCGCAACGACAGCAGAAAUCACCGCCGCUCCGACAACCGCGAUCAUCGAGAGGGUUGGGAUCGGCGGCGCGACAGCCGCGAUGACUUCAGAGGAAAGCGCCCUCGCGACUACGACCACGAAGUAAAUACGGUCAAACGACCCAAUGGACGACGGGACUACCAAGAAGACUACAACAAAACGUUGAGGGGACCAUGCCAACUACACCCAAAGUCCAAUCAUACCAUGGAAGAGUGCCGCGUCCUCAAAAGUAUCUAUACACGGCGGGCCGCCCAAGACGACUCCGCCAAGAAAAACAACAAGCGCGACGCGCACGACCACGAAGAUGAGGAUGAGGACCAAGAUAGGGACCCCCGACACCAAUACGUCAGCCCCACUGACGUGGUCCACUCCAUUUUCGGGGGCAAGGUCUCCACUGAGUCCAAGCGAGAAAGAAAGCUGUUAAAGAGAGCCUGCCUCAACAUAGACAGCACGGACGGGCUGAUCGCAGACCCGAAAUUUCCCACGUGGUCCCACAGGGAGAUCUCGUUCAGCAGGAAGGACCAGUGGGCCGCUAUCCCAGAGCCGGGUCGUUUCCCCCUGAUUCUUGACCCCUGCAUCAACAGCAUCAGAUUCGAGCGCGUGCUCGUGGACGGGGGAAGCUCCAUCGACAUCCUCUUCCGCAACAGCCUGCCCGCCCUCAAGAUAUCCCCGGCACAACUAAAACCUUACGACGCCCAAUUCUGGGGGGUUUUGCCAGGUCAAAGUUCCGUGCCUCUCGGACAGAUAACAUUGCCUGUCCAAUUCGGCACACCCGACCACUUCCGGACAGAGUUCAUCAACUUCGUAGUCGCGGAUUUCGACGGGACCUAUCACGCCAUACUGGGCCGCCCAUCGCUGACAAAGUUCAUGGCAGUCCCGCACUACUCAUACCUAGUCCUUAAGAUGCCCACGGAGAAGGGUGUCCUAACCAUCAGAGGCAACGUCUACACUGCGUACACCUGCGAAGAAGAAAGCUUCAAGAUCACCGAGGCAAUUGACCUCUCAAUCCGCAUGGCGGAAACAGCAAACCAAGCCGCACAGCUGCCUCCCGACCAGCUCCGAUUACCCGAACAGGCGACAGCCAGGAAGAACUCAAAAUCCAAGGAGUACAAAGAAGUGCAGCUGGUCGAAGGCAACCCCGAGAAGACAGCCCUCAUCGGGGCCAACCUGGAUCCAAAAUAGGAAGACGCGCUCGUCAGGUUUCUAAGGGACAACGUGAGCGUUUUCGCAUGGAAACCCGCAGACAUGCCCGGUGUCCCACGAAACCUGAUCGAGCACUCCUUAAAUGUCUCGAAGACCGCAAGACCAAUCAAGCAAAAACUGCGACGGUUCGCUCGUGACAAAAAGGAGGCUAUUAGGACAGAAAUAACACGGCUUCUAGCAGCCGGAUUCAUAAAAGAAGUGUAUCACCCCGAUUGGCUCGCCAAUCCGGUUCUUGUACGCAAAAAGAAUAAUGAAUGGAGAAUGUGCGUUGAUUACACUGAUCUCAACAAACACUGUCCUAAAGAUCCUUUUGGUCUCCCUCGCAUCGACGAGGUGGUCGACUCAACGGCCGGAUGCGAACUCCUCUCCUUUCUAGACUGCUACUCUGGUUAUCACCAGAUCUCGCUAAAGGAAGAAGAUCAGAUCAAAACAUCCUUUAUCACACCCUUCGGCGCAUACUGCUACACGACCAUGUCUUUCGGACUCAAAAACGCCGGAGCCACUUAUCAAAGGGCCAUCCAGCAAUGCCUCCACGACGAGAUUCGUGAUGACCUCGUCGAGGCCUAUGUGGACGACGUGGUCGUAAAAACAAGGGACGCGAGCACCCUAAUCGACAACUUAGACCGAACCUUCAAGGCACUUAAUAGGUACAAGUGGAAGCUCAACCCCAAGAAAUGCAUUUUCGGCGUUCCUUCCGGUCUACUGCUCGGCAACGUUGUCAGUUGCGACGGCAUACGACCAAACCCUUCAAAAGUAAAGGCGGUACUCGACAUGCGACCACCGAAGAACGUAAAGGAUAUCCAAAAGCUAACAGGAUGUAUGGCCGCCCUCAGUCGCUUCAUCUCAAGGCUAGGAGAAAAAGGCCUCCCUUUCUUUAAACUGUUAAAAGCGUCGGAAAAAUUUUUUUGGACAGAAGAAGCCGACACCGCAUUCAACCAGCUUAAGACCUUCCUCACUUCACCACCUGUCCUUACAGCCUGGAGUUUCGCACAAGGAAACAAGAUGUGGAGAUCAAGCAGGAUUCUAGUCGGUUAGAAUAGAAAUUGAUAUCGAAUUAUCCAUGACAAUUGUAACCGACUAGGGUUAGUUUCCGGAUCUGUAACCCUGCCCUCCAGACUAUAUAAGGAGAGGCAAGGGACCCCCCUAGGACAUCAUAUUCUCUCAACACAAAUCAAUACAACCAGACGCAGGACGUAGGUAUUACGCCAACUCGGCGGCCGAACCUGGAUAAAAAGCUUGUCCGUGUCUUGCGUCACCAUCGAGUUCGUAGUUUGCGCACCGUCUACCGAUAAACUACUACCGUGGGUAUACCCCAAGGUAGACUGCCGACUAGCUUUCGUCGACAAGUAACUAGCCAUGUGUAUCUAAAUAGAGUAGAAUUGUAAAAGAGGACGAUGGUAAUCCUAGUGUACUAUUCUUGAGAUGUCUUGAAAUAAUAAAAUAUAGAAGGGCUUUGCACGAAAAGAGGAUGUGAAAAACAUGGCUUAUGCCGAGGCUGUUUGUUCGGUUAAAAAAAUAAGUUGAAAAUAAAGUAAUGUUCACUAAUCUAUUGUGUGAGAAAAAUAUUGUAUCAUAGCUGAUAAGUCUGUGUGUCAUUGUUAUAUUCGUAACAUAAAUUUGCAAAACUCUACAUUUCUCCCUUUUUUUUAAAAAAAAUGACAGACACGAGCUACCUUUUAUAUAGUACAGUCAGGCUUCUCCUUACGUGAUUGAGCAAAGCUCCUGCCAUUUCUUAAAAAAAUGCAAGCUCGGUUGAUAAGGGUUUUGCCGUUUGAGGCUUCCGUUGAGCAUCACGUUUGUGUAAACUCAGAAAAUAAACUAAAAGCUGCUGUGAAGUGAUUUCGUGGCUUUUGAUUUGUUCUGGAAGCUAAAUAAAUAUUAAAUAAAUUUAAUAAUAAAAAUACAGCUACAAAAUCAGCUUUUAUGUCAGAAGUACAAAAGGUACCGCUCAAACAAACUAGCCCUUAGGGGGGCGUUUGGUUGCCUACACCAGUCCUCCUGAGCCAGGCUCUCCGCGUGCGAGAACAGACAUUUGUUUGGUUGGCAUAUGUGCCGAGCGAGGCUACACGCGUGCAAAAAGCCUCUCGCAGCCAGGCUCUGCUGAAACGCAGAAAUCGGCCGUUUUUGUUGGGCCUGGCUCACCUCAUGCGAGCAAGCACUGAACGAUGCAUGACGUGUGAGAUAGAGAUACGUGAACACGGUGAACCAAACAGAUGCUGCUGUUGGCCUAGCUGUAGUGAUCCAAGUAACCAAACAAGAUGCUAUCGCAUACAUAGAGCCUGGUCAAAGUUGGCCUGACUAGCUCUGUGCGAGCUAGGCUCUACCGAGCAACGAACCAAACAGUCUCUAGAUGUCUUCUUCUCACUGUGUGAAAAAAUGGCAUUACAGACGCGCCUUUACUGAUAUCACAGAUGCUCCUGAGUGCGUCAGUGAUAUAAAGUCUGAUAAAUAUUUAAUAAGACCUUAAUACUGACGCACUUCUAACAUCCGUAUGUAAGUAACACAUAGACACGUCAGUAGUAAAGCUUUUUCAGCGACGCCUAUCUAGAACACACGUCAUUAAGGUCCAGCUCGUCAGUACAAAAUUCUAACUGCAGACGCUUCUUCAGGAAUAGGGGUCUGUAGUAAGGAUUAAGCCACAGACGCAUUAUCCAGAGACGCGUCUACAGUAUGAAUUAAAUUGUAACAGUACCAUCGGCAUAUCUCUGUACUAAAUACCUCAAUGAAACGACAUAAAUACACAUCAACAUCUCAUUAAUUAGUACACAGCUUUAACACAAUCAAAUACAGAUCAAAGUUUAAUCACUAAAUUAAAUGUGUAGCUCUAAUAAAGUCACGUUACCUUAUGGCUGGCUAUCGAAUAACUUAUUUUGUAGCUUGAUCAAAACUGGCUCGUGGUCACCAGCGCACCAUGUGUGUCCAUUCAUCCAUGGCAGCUUAGGCGCGUGGCUUUGGCUUUGUGUCUCCCACCUCUCUAGUGAACGCGAUAGCUCUUGAAGUUUUUAUAUUUUCCAAAAUAAUUUCAAUUUUAAACGCGUACUAAAACAAAUUCAGGGUUACUGAUACAAAAUAUGAGAUCGGGUCGUAGAAAAAAGUGCCGAGAGAAAAACUUUUAGAAUAAAAAUAUAGAAAACUUUUGAAGAUGAUUUCUUUUUUUACUCCUCAUGUUAAUCUAGGAGUUCAUAAACAUGAUAUUUUGGGGAAUAUAAUAUAAAAGAUCUCUUGGAGAUGCUAUCUUUUCUUCCACCUCUCUAGUGAACGGUAUAGCUCUUGAAGCACAAAUCCAAUUCUACGGACGUUCAUUCAUUCUACCUCUUGAAGCUUUCAUAUUUUCCAAAAUAAUUUCAGUUUUCAAGACAUAUUCACUGGAACAGCCUCCCAAUAUCUAUUCAAAAUGUAUUCACACGAAAAAGUAAAUAUAUAUUCCAAAUGAGCAAAAUUCCUUAUUUGGUCAAACUUGCGUAGGAUUCCAAAAGGGUUUUUUUGAACGGUGCCAUUACAAUUUCAAAGUAUUUGAAAUAUGCCAUUAUAAUUCAGGUAUCCUGAAGCGGACCAUUACAAUUCUUGCAAAAUUUGAAAUAUGCCAUUGGAUACGGUAGAAGGACGCUUGGGCCUGCUUGCAAGCCGACGUGGCAUACGGUCGACCGUAUGCGCCCGUCGCCGUGAGCCAUCUAAACGGCGCGGCAAAAAACGCCGUCUCCACCCCGCCCCUGACUCAUUCUCGCUCUCCAUCUCUCUGUCUCUCUCGAGCGUAACCCUAGGCGCGGCGGCGGCGGCGUGGCGGCGGCGGCGCAGGGGGAGGCAAUGGAAUAGGGGCGCAUGUCCAUGGCAGACGUGCCCCCGUGCACGGCGCAGCGCAGGGCGCCGCGGAUGGGGGAUAGCAACGAAAGGUAAUGUUUUGUCCUUCCAGAGCACGAAUACGAGUGCAUUAGGUCUUGAUCUGUUGAUUGGCAUUAGAUAUUGAUGUGAUUUGGUUGAUGCUAGGGUUCCGCUAUUUUCUUUAGAAAUUAAAGUGGAAGCAUUCUGUUGGAGAGACUCUUUGGGUAGGAAAGCUUACACAAAGGGCUCUGUAAUUAAGUGGGAUGUGGAGAUUGGCUCGUUUUCAUUUGAUGUACUGAUGGCCAGCUUGCGCAAUGCUGUCAAUUGCUCUACUACUCAGUGUCCAGUUGCUUGGUUCUAUGAUAAAAGGUUGUCUCAAGAUGUCAUGCUAGAAAAUCAAUUCCAGAUUAAUGAUAUGUUUGAGAUGUAUAAGGAGGAGAUGCAUUGCCACAUUGUCGUAGGGGUAUUUGAUCAGUCUGUUCCCACUAUUGAUCAAUUUGAUGAACUAGAUCUUCCUCCUGACACUAGCACUGGCAACCCAGCCAGUACUGACAGUUAUGUUAACCAGCCCACAUUUGAGGCAGAUGUUGCACCAGAGGCUGAAGUUGAGACUCAACUUGAGCCUGAUAGGGAACCUGAUAUGUUUGAUAACGAUGAGGAGUAUGUGGGUUGUGAUGAUGAGGGCAUGUACAUGCCAACACCACCAACACAGCCUCCUAGUAAUUCACCUCCACAUGCUUCUCAUGAUGCUGAAAAUGCUGAUGCUGAUGCUGAUGCUUUUCCUGUUGAGGCAGAGGUCACUGAUGCAGACCCUGAAGAGAUCAAUAUCAUUCAUGACCCAGAACAUCCCAAGAUUGUAAAGGGGGAGUUAUUUCCUGAUAUUGUUUCAUUCAGGAAAGCUAUCAGGCAUUUCUCUGUUACUAAAGGCUAUGUGUUAGCUGGUAUCAAAACAGACCCAUCAAGAUUUAUUGCAAAGUGCAAAUCCGAGGGAUGUCCUUGGCGCAUACAUGCAUCUAGGCUGCAGGGUAGAAAGACAAUACAGGUAACUGUCUAUUCACUAGUUCCUUUGUGCAAGUUUUAUUUUUUCUUUACCUGACAUGUUUCGUAUGCACAGAUCAAAGUACUGCCUGCAGAAGAUGGCAUCACAGUCUUGGUGUGCAGAUAGGCUGGCAGAUUGGAUAAAAAAACAUCCAACAAAACGUGCAAAAGAGUGCAGGGAGAAGUUGGAAGAUGAUUAUGGCAUCAAGCUGAAGUAUUCAAAGGCUUGGUCAGGUAUGCAGUGCGCAUUGGAUCAAAUCCAUGGUAAAUAUGAGGAAAGUUUUCAACUGCUAUUCAAUUGGGGUGCUCAAAUUGAAAAGGUAUCUCUUGGUAGCACUGUAGUGGUAGAGGUUGACAAAAUUGGUAAGAAGAACAGAUUCAAAAGAAUGUUUGUUGCUCUAAAGCCUUAUGUAGAUGGAUUCUUGGCUGGUUGUAGGCCUUUUUUGGGUAUAGAUGCAUCUUGUUUGAAUGGAAAGUAUAGAGGUCAGCUAGCUUCAGCAACCAGUGUAGAUGGACAUAAUUGGUUGUAUCAUGUAGCUUAUGGCAUUUUUGACAUAGAAAAUGAAGACAACUGGACAUGGUUCUUGCAACUUCUUAGUAGAGCAAUUGGGCCUGUCCCAAAUCUUGUAGUUUGUACAGAUGCAUGCAAAGGCGUGGAGAAUGCAGUGGGUAAAACUUUUCCAACAGCUGAGAAUAGGGAAUGCAUGAGACAUAUGUACCAAAACUUUUAUGAAGCACUAUUCUAGUGAUGUAUUCACAGACCACCUUAUCCUACAGCUAGAAGUUACACUCAAGAAAAAUUCCAGUGGCACAUGAAUCAGAUACAUGAGUAUGCUCCUCAAGCUAUAGAAUAUAUUGAGAAUUACCACAGCAGGAUAUGGUACAGGUGUGGGUUCUCAGAAAGUAGCAAGUGUGAUUAUUUGACCAACAAUGUGUCAGAAAGCUUCAAUGCACAGGUGAAGCACCUCAAAGGUUUAUUAUUACAUGAACUGGUAGAUGUUGAUAUUUGGUAACGCAAUAAGGAAAUAAUCCGCAAGCGCACGGAUAUCGGUGAGCAUUUCACCCGGGAGGUUUUCCAGAGUAUCGUAUUUAUAUUUUUACCACUGGGAGAAAGGGUGCAUCUGACUAACCAAAUCUAUUGCUACUAUCCCUUUAGGCUACAAAGAAUGUUUCUCAAUGUGAGUGAUAUAUAGAGAAGACUGCAACCGUAGUCUCGUUCUAACCUUGGUAAGGAUGAUCUACUGUUCUAUUGGGGAAGCUUACGGAAUCUAGACACCACAAAGGAUGUUUGACCCGCACCUAUAAACCUACCCGUCCUGCUAACAAGAUAUGGGAUACAAAGGUAACUCGGAAAUGUCACGUUCCUCGCUACUACCACGGUCCAGCUAGUCAGGGGAUAUCUAUGAGUACCCUAGUGAAAGGUCCUAAUAUGGCUAGAGGGGGGUGAAUAGCCUAUUUAAAAAUUCUACAAACUCACUAGAGCGAGAGGUUAGUAAAUAACAAAGCGAAGCCUUUUGCUCUAGCUCUAAUGGGGUGUUUGCAAGCCACCUGUCCAACAAUUCUAGUUGAUAUAAUCACUAGACACACAAGAGCUAUGUCACUACUUACACUAGAAAGCUACCUAAAGUUUCUAUACAAGUAAGUAAGCUACUCUAGUUUGCGGGAAUGUAAAAGAGAUGGUUUUAACUUUAUACCGCCGCAUAGAGGGGAUGAACCAAUCACUAAUAUGAAGUCCAAUCACCGGGAGAAAUCCAAUGAACAAUCACAAUGGAUACACACAAUUUUACUCCCGAGGUUCACGUGCUUGCCGGCACGCUACGUCCCCGUUGUGUCGACCAACACUUGGUGGUUCGGUGGCUAAGAGGUGUAGCACGAACCUCGUCCUCACUAGGACACCACAAGAACCUACCCACAAGUGAGGUAGCUCAAUGACACGAGCAAUCCACUAGAGUUACCUUUCGGCUCUCCGCCGGGGAAGGUACAAGACCCCUCACAAUCACCGGGAGAUGGCCACGAACAAUCACCAACUCGUGCUAAUCCUCCUCCGUUGCUCCAAGCCGUCUAGGUGGCGGCAACCACCAAGAGUAACAAGAAAACCGCAGCUAGAACGAUCCCCAAGUGCCACUAGAUGCAAUCACUCAAGCAAAUUCACUUGGAAUCACUCCCAAUCUCACAAAGAUGUUUAAUCUAUGAAGGAGAUGAGUGGGAGGUGUUUGCUUAGGCUCACAAGGAUGUUAUGUAUGUUAGAAUGCCAAGAGAGUGAGCCCCAAGCCGGCCAAACACGUAUUUAUAAGCCCCUCAAGCAAAUAGAGCCGUUGGCACUUUCACUGGGCAAACUGCGGGGUCACCGGACGCUCUCAAAGGGGCACCGGACGCUCAACACCAGCGUCCGGUGCUCCAACGUCAGCCAUGUGUCGCCUUUUGAAAAACUCGUGUCAGAGUCUAACGGUCACCUGCAGUGCACCGGACGCUAAGCAAGUUAGCACCGGACGCGUCCGGUGCACACCGGACUCAUGCGCAGAGAGCUCCGCAAACUCGCACGGUCACCGGACGCAAGCCACCGGACGCACCCUGAGCAUCCGGUGCUCACCGAACUCAUGCGCAGAGAGGGUUGCAAAACGCCCUCACACCGGACGCUAACCACCGGAAGCGUCCGGUGCUCACCGGACCCAUGCGCAGAGAGGGUCGCAAAACGCCCACACACCGGACGCGCACCACCGGACGCUCAAGCCAGCGUCCGGUGCCUAUCGUCCGGUGCCUUACCCUAGCUGGGCCAGGCACUGUCUGCACCGGACGCUCAGACGCAGCGUCCGGUGCUCCAGAAGCCAGCGUCCGGUGAGUGUUUUCUCAGCGAGAAACACUCCCACGACUACUCCAAAUUUCCUACCGACGCAAUAGAAAAUAUGCAUUUUAUUUUCUCGAAAAGCGCCGAAUCCCACCUCGCAAGCUCGGCGGGAGGGAGAGAGGAACCCAUCCUCUCUCUACGUACUCUUCAAACUCCACCUCCUUCUCAAAGUGUGCCAACACCACAAGUGUAAACCAACAAGUGUGCACGUGUGUUAGCAUUUUCACAAUCAUUUUCUUAGAAGGAGUUAAGUUAGCUCACUAGGUUCUAAAUGCAUACACAUGAACAAUGACACCUAGUGGCACUUGAUAACCGCUUAGCCAAAGAAUUCCCCUCUUUAUAGUACGGCUAUCUAUCCUAAAUGUGAUCACACCCUCUAUGGUGUCUUGAUCACCAAAACCAAAACCCUAAGCAAUACCUUUGCCUUGAUCUCCAUAGGGUUUUGUUUUUCUCUUUCUUCUUUUCCAAGUUGAGCACUUAAUCAUCUUGUGGUCAUCACCAUGAUCAUCAUGAUCAUCACUUGCUCCAUCACUUGGCAUGUACCAACCUCAUUAAGUCUACACACACUUAGUAUAGAGGUUAGUACUAGGGUUUCAUCAAUUAUCCAAAACCAAACUAGGGCUUUCACCUAGCCUAAACACCACGUUUACGCUAGCAAUAAUUACUCUAAUACUCAACCGGAAGAGGAUUAAAUUAAACUCAUAAACCAAAGAACAAUAAAACAAGAACUUACUAGAAUUAGAAGUCGAAUUACUGAAGAAUCUUAGAAGCAAGCCUCGGGUUAGAAGACUUGAUCCCGCAGGUACAACUCGGAGUAGACACCGACAGGUCGGCCUUCCUCCGAUCUACACCUCCACUCUAUCUCUCUCAAUCUAGUAGAAACUAGAAGAUCUAUUUCUACUUACAUUGGUUGCUAAGCCUAAAAAAAUAUUAUUUAGAGAAGAGGUUUUCCUUCGAGGGCACCCCUCAAUCUCUAUGAUAACUUCUUGUCUUCUCCAGGGGCCAGGGGGGUCUCCUUAUAUAGUCCUCCUCCUCUAUGCGUUUUUGGGUCGGUAGGCGAUGUGGUACUACAUUAUCCUUGAUCCAUUAGGUCGGUGGAACAUCGUGUGCGAAGAGAGUCCCGAACGGAGUCUAGGACACGGCGGGCGCCCAGGGAAAGAGGGCGGGCGCCCUGGGCCUGGCCCCUUUCGGCCUCUGCUUUCUUCCCGUGGCUUCUGGAGUCUUCUAGAUGGUAGAAAAUUACGCGGUGCGUUGAUAUCUCUAUGUAAUCCCGACAUGUGGGCCUUUCUUCCGUAUUUUUUGAUAACCCCCUGCAGAAAUAGACAAACACCAAAACUCAUGGAAUUCUGUCAGAUAAAACCCUAAGUCUAGAUGUUGAUUUCAUUUGGAUCCUUUUCUUUGUUUAUUUGAUAAUUAAAUUUGAUACUUAAGGACCGUCAACAGUAGACAGAAUUAGAGAGCUUAUAAUGGAGAAGAGAUAUUUGAGGAAGAAAGUUGCUAGGCAGUGGGAAGAUGGAAUCCUCCCAAAUGUGAUGAAGGAUUGUUGGGUAUUCUUAACAUCAUUACCAAAAGUAGACUAAGUUCUCUAAAUCUAGUAACGGUGCCAAAAAUGCCAAACCUAUCCCUCACACCACUUAAGCCAAGUUGUCAUCCCCAGCAUGACAUGAGAGACGCGGUAUUGAAAUAUGCAAUUGCUCUUCUAAAUAAAUAAUGAAUGAGAUCUGCAAGCGCACAGAUUAAUACCGAUGUAGCAUUUUAACCGGGAAGUAUUCUAGGUAUCGUUAUUUAUAUUUUUACCACUGGGAAGGGAUUAGCAAUCAUCACUAUUGAUUACAGAAUAGAAUAUGAGAUUGAGCAUCUAUCAUUGCAUGUAUAAUUGAGAACAUUUAUCUAACUCUUCAUACAGGGAUAAGUGUCACAUAAAAGAUAUAUGAAAUAAUAAUAGUGACAAGGAUAACUAAUCUGAUCUAGCCACAUAAUAAAUAUGAUAAGCACCUCAAUUAGAUACUCUAGAAAGUCAUUAGCAUGGUAUUAGAACGAACUAUAAGAAUAUUCCCUAAGUUAUUCUCAACUAUAUAGUUUAGCAUUAUCAUAGUUAGUGCAAGCAUACUUAGCAAUCAUUGUGAGACAAGACUACGCCCAUGCAUAGUGAUAUUAGCAAGGAAUAUGAGAAACAUAGCAAUCACUCCCCUAUAAUAAUGUUGCUCUGCCAGCCCAAUACACGAGAGGGGGACUAUAUAAGAAUCAAUGAAGCUGUCACUAUCACGAACCACCCCACGAUCUGGCAUAUUGGGUACAAUCGCAGAUAAAUAUGGUAUAAGCACCACGCCUACACAAUAUCUAUCAUUUACCCAUGGAUCCGAUGGAUAAACGCUAUACGAUCCUAAGCAUGUAUAUAGAUCGAAUCUAACUAAGCCAAGUACAUAACUAUGAUAAACUAAGAACAAUAUAAUCUUGAAUAUAAGCAAGUAGAGCAAAGUCAUAAGCAAUAUAUUGAAGUAGAACAAAGUCAUAUUUAUAAUAUUGAAGAACAAAGAUAAUUAGAAAGUAAUUAGAAGCACAAUUAGAGAAUUACCAAGAAUCCUCUUGACAGAUCCGGAAACCAAUCGAAGAUUGACUCCUUCUAGUUCUAAUCCUAUGUAGCUAUGCUAAUCUAGAUAUCUAAUUGAUGUGGUGGCUCUAAUCUUGAUCAGAGGCUUCUUCUCCCUUGAAGAACAAUGAAUUAGGGUUGAGAGGCUCCCCCCUCUAGGGGCCAGGGGGUCUGGUUUUAUAGUCCCUUCAAGUGAAUAUGGGCCGUUGGAUCAAACCGACAUAGAUUGUAUGGUUUAGAUUCAUCCUUUAGGUCGGUGGAAAUCUCCCACGAAGCAGAGUCCUGAUUGGACUCAGGAGGUGGGCGGGCGCCCUGAUCACCUGGGCGGGCGCCCAGGGUCACGCCCCGUUUCGCCUCCGCUUCGGUUUCGUGGCUUCUGGAGUCUUCUAGAUGUAAGAUAAUUGCGCGACACGUUAAUAUCUCUAUGUAAUCCCGACGUGUGGGCCUUUCUUCCGUAUUUCCUGAUAACCCCCUACAGAAAUAGACAAACACCAAAACUCGUGGAAUUCUGUCAGAUAAAACCCUAAGUCUAGAUCUUGAUUUCAUUUGGAUCCUUUUCUUUAUUUAUUUGAUAAUUAAAUUUGAUACUUAAGGACCAUCAACAAGGAUCUCAACCUGAUCAGUACUCAACUCAAUGUAGUCAAGGUCAAAGUCAGUGAUGAUAACACUGCUGAAGUUACAAUCCUGGAGUGGGAGAAGCAAAGGAGGCACACUGUGGACCUAGGAAACCACAAUUGUUCCUGCAGGCAGUGGCAAGUGACUGGAAAGCCAUGUAAGCAUGCUUUGGCUUGGAUACUGUCAAUCCCAGGGAUGAGAAUUGAGGAUUAUGUACAUGAGUACUAUUCAGUUGCUAGAUUUAAGGCAGCUUAUGCUGAUAGGAUUGAGCCUAUCCCAGACAAGGAUGAAUGGCCUGUUGUCAACCUUGGUUUUAAAGUGUAUCCUUCAUUGCUAGGCAGAGGUCCAGGAAGGCCAAGGGUUGUAAGAAUUAGAGGGACUUUUGAGCAGAGGGCCACGAAGAAGAAAGUUAGGUGCAAGAGAUGUGGUGACUUUGGACAUUUUUCCAAGACCUGCAAGUUGCCAGAACUAGGUGAAGAUGGAGAAAGAGGACAAGGGUCUUCAAAAAGGUAUUAAAACUAUUGUCUAACCAUUUUAUUAUUUUUUCCUAUGUACUAAGAUCUAACCGGCUAUUGUCAUCUCAACGCAGAAAGAGGCCGACUCAGCAAGUGUCAUCACAGGAAGCUCCAACGCAGGAAGUACCAACACAGGAUGAUGCUGGACCUUCCCAGGUGAAGAAGACCAAGCCUCUGAAGAAGGUUACAACUAAGAAGAAGAAGAAGACACCAAAGAAAACAAAGCUGCAGAGGGAAGCAGCUGCACCUGGGAAGGCUGUUAUCAGCAGCAUCAGGCACCUGAUCUAUGAUGCUCCACAGGAUGCUGAUCUAUGAUUCUCCACAGGAUGCUGAUCUAUGAUGCUCCACUUAUAUGGCUUUGUUCUGAACCUUACUAUGUAAUGAGGCAUUAGAAUGCCAACUUGGAACUUGUAUGGCUGAUGCUGCUACUAUGUAAUGAGGCAUUAGAACUUGCCAACUAUUUUCAGUCAUGUGAACUCUACUUAUGUUAGUUUGUACUCUCCUGUAUUGUGUCAAUUAUCAUGUGAACUCUACUUAAAAUGUUAAGAAAACAAGACAAAGUGCUGCAGAAAUUCUAAUAUAUUUUGAAGCUGAAAUUCUAAUCUAUUUUCAGUGACAAAAGGCAUAGGACAAUGCUGAUCAUACUCAUCGAAGAAACUCAGUGACAAAAUGCUUGUUCUUUCAUUGCAAAUACACAUAAUUACAGUCACUUCAUCAUCUGAGAAAAACCUACACCUAGCAGUACACCCACAAGGACACCUACAACAACAGAUACAUCCAACACAAUUUGCAUUUUCCCCUUCCUGCCCAAGUCCAGUGCUGGACUCUGAUUACUAACUUGACUAGGAACAGCAACAACAUCUCUGUCUCCAAGUUGCACCUUCAUUUUCUCAAGUUCAGUGACAACUCUAUCUAGAGUUUGCUUCAUCUCCUUGUCCCGUUGAUUCAAAUCAUCAUUAGGAUCCCCAACUGCUGAAUGAAGGGGCAACUGCAGCUGAAUCUCUUUCUCCUUUUGCUUCAUAAACCAUGCCUCGUACUGCUCCUCCGAACGAAUCCAGCCACAAGUUGUUGGAUCACCCUGUGCAAGCAACACCAGUCAAAUUGAAAACAAAGGAAGCACAUUCAAGGGCAUAAACAAUGCAAAUAGUUACCUUUACGUUGUUUGGGCACUUGAUGAAUGCGACAUCCUUUGAGUGCUCUUGCUUGCUCACGAUUCGGAUCAAAGGAACAUUGCACACUGGGCAGUUCAGUAGGGGGCACUGCACCCUUCUACUGCCAGCAGCGGAAGAGCUCGAGGCCAUCUUCAUCUGCAGCGCCGCCGUCGGGAUCGUGGCACCGGAAUCGCCGCCGCCGCGCCUAGGGUUACGCUCGAGAGAGACAGAGAGGUGGAGAGCGAGAAUGAGUCAGGGGCGGGGUGGAGACGGCGUUUUUUGCCGCGCCGUUUAGAUGGCUCACGGCGACGGGCGCAUACGGUCGACCGUAUGCCACGUCGGCUUGCAAGCAGGCCCAAGCGUCCUUCUACCGUAUCCAAUGGCAUAUUUCAAAUUUUGCAAGAAUUGUAAUGGUCCGCUUCAGGAUACCUGAAUUAUAAUGGCAUAUUUCAAAUACUUUGAAAUUGUAAUGGCACCGUUCAAAAAAACCCAUUCCAAAAUAGAAAGUCCUUUUCCUUCCCAAACAGAAAACCAUGUUUAUCUGCCAACAGUUUCUAACCCAUGGGUCCCACGGGUGCCAACGGUUUCCCUCUUGAUCCUCCCCAAUCGCCCGCUCACACCACCACGCCGCCACGCCGCUCAUCGUUAACUUCCUGCCCUCCACGGACUUAUCCGCUCGUCGCGCCCGCCUCAAGCUAAUGACGAAUCUAAUGAGUAGAAGAGUGAGGGCAUGUGUCCUUAAGGAAAAAAAACGUCUUCGACCAGAAAUCUCCACCUGCCGCGCUGUGGAGUUCUCGUGCUGGGGCUCCUCCCCGUGCGUCGCCACGGUGCCGUGGCUGACCACACGAGCGCGGCUUGGCAUGCGUCUAAAGAUACAGUGGCCGUUGUUGGAGAUGACCUUGAAGCUGUGCAUCUGCCAUUCUGCCUUCCAUUGGUGCCUAUGGGGUACACUGUCAAACAGCGCUGGUGCCCCCUCCAUCGGCGCGGGAGGAAGAAGAUGACCAGGUUGAGCGGUGUGGAACCGUCGUAAACGAAUCUGCGCGGUUUCUCCCAACACGGUUGACUGUGGGCUGAUUUACGGGUACACGGUUAGUAUACAGCAUCGUACAUACCACUCAUAUAUAUAGUCAUAUAUAACAUCUCAAGUCCAUACACGGCACACUGCUUAGAGAACCUUUAUUUAUUUUGUAUGAAAAAGGGACAUGAAAGAAAACCAUUCUCCGAAUAUAUCAAAACAUGUAUAAGGCUGCCCGUGAAGUAGAAUCGCAUCCCCAUCCACAGAUUUAGUUGUAGGCGUCGGGGUUGGCGACGAGGUAGGCCUCGGCACCCUUGAAAAUGGCGGUGAGUGCCUCCUUGGCCUUGGCUUCCUCGUCCUUCUCGUCCAUGCCCGGCAGCAACUUGUAGGUCGACUCCACCUUCACCACGCUGCCGCCGUCGGCCGUGGGCUCCACCUUGAUGUGUGACGCCGCGGUCUCGAUGGCAACACCGAUGCCGCCGCCCUCGACGAGCGUGUUCUUGCACUCGCACUUGUCCACGUCCAGGAAAUCGAGCCUCUCCUUCAUGAAGCUGAACGGCAUGACUGCAAGAACGAUCGCGCACGUCAUUCGCUAGCUAUUUGAUCGAUCGAUCGGGCGACAACAUGUUGGUCUGGGCGACUGGGCAUGCUGCGGACACUUACAUGAGGUGAAGUUGAACUGCCUGACGCUGCCAACGCCGCCGUCGCCCUCCACGGGGUGGGCGCUGGCGACGACGUGGGAGGCGACCUUGGGCGCCAGGGUGUGCCAGUCCAUCACGGCGGCGCGGAACAGGCGCGGCGCGGCCACCGGCGACGGAAUCUCCAGGGUCCAGCUGCUGGCGGAGGCCAUUACUUCAGUGAUCGGCCGAGAUAAACUAAACUAGGUGCGAGCCGAAGCUGCUUAGGUGCUUGUGCUGCUGCAGGUGGUUUUAGGAUUGCGCUUUUGCUUGCGUUGCCAUUAGAGUGGCGGACGGAGGACUUUAAAUAGGCGGUUAUGGCGGGGUUGGUGGCGUCCCGUGAGGAUGAGACGCUCGGGAGUCGUCGUCGGCGGCUCUUCCCACUUUGGCUUGGCACGGCACCGUCGCUCGUCGGUCCAUGUAGUUCAUUAUAAUAUACUACAUGUUGCCGGGGUUGCGGACAAACGUCUGGAAACGUGCUGCCAUUCCGUCAGCGUUCAACCCCUGAAGGUGUAGAAUAUAUAUCGUCGAAUUGGCGAGCCAAAUCAGCUUCCAGAUCAAAAAGCAUGUACUGUAAGCGUGGGUUGGUGUCAUUAGAAACGAGAAUUAUACCGUACGUGAGCGUCCUGACUACUUGCAUCACUCUUUUGGUGUCGCACUGUCGCUAUUAACUACUAAUAAUAAACAUAAUCCUGUAAAUCCACCUCUUUUUAAUCAUCCUAUAAAUACCUCUACUGGCGACAGCAUGGACAAAGCUCAUACGGAAAAUAACAUAGUGGUGGCCAAAGCUGUAUGGGAAAAUAUUGAUUGCAGACUAUCAAUUGGGUGCAAAAGUACUCAGUGUAAACUAUUAAUUAAGUGCAAAUAUAAAGACAAUUGCUAUGUCACAGUUGAUUGUUUUAGCCUCCGUGAAUAACUGAUUUCCUGGCCGUUUGAUUCUUAUCACGUGGGAUGAAAGAAAGACCAACAACGCUGCGGAAGCAGAGCGUGAGGAAGGACCGAAGGAGCCACCAGGGGUCCACUGAUGUCGCCAUUAGCACCAAGGAGAGGCCGUCGUCAGAGUCAGAGUCAGGGUUGUAGAGGGCUAUCACGUCCGUUGUCGAGGUCGGGGUGGGGUAAAGAUGGCAAUGGAUAAUUACCCGCUGGGUAUAUGCUACCCAUACCUUUACCGAUGAGAAAAUAUUUUACCCGUUAAUUUACAUAUCCAUGUAUGGGUAAGAGUUUUUUCCCAUACCCUUACCCACGUGGGUAACGGGUAAUCCAUGAGUUUUCUUACCCAUGAUUCUAAGAAUACUUGUAAAAAAUAAAUACAUAUUUAAAUAUUCUAGACUCCCAAUUUCAGCCAAAGUAUCAUAAGUCAUUAAUAAAAUCAUCAAAUAUACAAGCUCCAUGAAUACCUAAUCAAGUAAUCUAAUAGAUAAAUCCAUCAUUACUAGACAACAAGUGACAAAAUUUACAAGUUUCCGUGUUGUGCGGCCGCCGCAAGGAGAUAGGGGAAAGGUGAGAGAGCGGAUGUGUGAGGUACUAAGGUGAGGGCCUAGAGUUUGACAGCAUUAUAUAUGAUUUUUAUUGGACUUGGCCUGUGUAUGGUGAUUUUGGUCCAUAAUUCUAACUUAUUGAAUCGGGUCCAAUCCCAUACCCUUACUCGCUUUACCCGCUGGCUAAAGCUUUUUCCCAUUAUCUUACCUAUGGAUAAAAAAAAUAGUCAUACCUUUACCCUAAUGAAGUAAUUAACCAUCGGAUUUCGAGUAAAAAUUGACAUCUUUAAGGUGGGGAAUGGCCGCCGCAUCUACCAUAGCCACCUGCUUCCUGAGAUCCAUGGGGAAAGAGCCCGCCGCUAGCCGAGGGUGAGGAGCCGCCGCCUCUGUGUGGCCAACUUCAUGUCGGGCCUCUACCGUGGCGGGGGUAGCUCACAGAAGGGAAGGGAUAAAGUUGGUGAGGGUGGGUCCCACCAUAAUUGGUGAAUAAUUUGCCAUGUAUUUCUCUAAUAUCUACUAUCUAAAGAAAUAUUUUGUAUUUUUUUCUGAAAAGUUUGGCAUAUUUGUCUUUGAGAUAUGUAAUCUAUAAAAAUACCUAAGAUAUAUCACUAUAUCCAAUAAAUGACACUAUGUGUUAGCAUUUUCUCACUACAUUUUCAAAGGUGUUAACACACUAGAUUCUAAUGCAUAUGCAUUAUCAACAACAGCUAGUGACACUUGAUAAACCGCUUUUAACCAUAAUUUUCCUCUCUUUAUAGUACAGCUAUCUAGUCGACUAGUCCAAACCCAAUUAUAUCCUCUAUGGUAUCUUGAUUGGCGAAACAAGAAUGGCCCUAUCACAUACCUUUGCCUUAAGCUCAUUUUUAUUUUUCUCUUUCUUUUUUUCCAAGUUGGAGCACUUGAUCUUCACACUUGACCACCUCCAUCAUCUAUAGAUGCCAUAAUCUAGCUGGUGUGUACCAAUCCUAUUUCCUAUCUUAUAUACACCUAAAGCAAUGGUUAGUAGACUUAGAUCUCAUCAAUUAUCCGAAACUAAACUAGAACUUUCAUGUAGUGACACAACAUCUACUUUCUCUCACCCUUCCUCUUUCAUGGAAUGCAAGCAUUCAUACAUCAUUAGUAUGUUGUAUGUAAUGAGUCUCUCUAGCACAAACACCGACUGUUCUUCCGAAAUCACCUUUGGGAAAAAAUAAUCCACAGUCUGUUUGCCACCGUCUUAGAAGCAAUCUUAUAUAUCAUGUUACAUAGACUGAUGAUAGGCCAAAACAGCCCGCUCGACCAACUUCUCCACUUUUGUGAUCAAUACUAUUCAUGUGCUAUUUAUCACAGAAGGAUCAUCCUCGCCACAUAAGUCCUAGUGCCGCUAAAAAAAAUGAGCAGGAAAACCAUCUGGCCCCGGCGUUUUUGUCUUAAACAUGUGAGAAAGCUUAGUCCUGAUCUCCUCCUUUCGUAUACAAGGCGAGUGUCCUGACAACUACUUGCAUCACUCUUUUGAUGUUGCACUAUCGUUGUUAGCCUUAUCAUUAACUCCUUUCCUCUCUAAUCUCUAGAAUUAAGCAAAGAUUUGAAUGCUUUCUCAAUUUACCAUCAUAUAAUUAUUAUAUUAUAAUAUAAUCAAAUAAAUACACCUCUUUUUAUUCAUCCCGCAAAUAUAUCUAGUGGCAAUGAGUAUGGAAAGAGCUAAUACGAAAACUAUCAUAGUGGUGGCCAAAUACAUGAGAAAAUAUUCAGUGCAAACUAUAGAUUGGGUGCAAACAUAAACCCUUUAUAACAUAAUUAGAUGUUUUCUUAAAAAAAUGCCCACUUCGCCACUAAAGUUAAGAUACAAAGAAAUGGGGUGGGGGUGUGAUGCAAAGAUAUUGGAGAGUGAAUCUCUUCUUUCAAACCUCCCAAGAAACUAGUCACAAAGUAAACAUAAUCGUAGGAGCUAUUGUACAAUAGAAUUUGAUGCGCAGGCUGUUCAAGCUACUCAAAUUACUGUGACCGAACUAGUCUACUGAAGAUGAUUGUUUCAUACAUAACUCAUAUUGGUCACGAUUAAAAUAAUUACAAACCGCAUCACAAGAGCAGGCCAAGAUGUGAAACAACCACACAACUCUUUAAAUUGUAACCAAGUGGCAGCGGUCCUCCAGAACUCAAUGCAACAGAGCUAGGCUUCAAUGUCUCGCUGAUAGAGUACAUCUCAAAAUAGAUCUUACAGUGAUCCUUCCACAACCAUAAAUUGUCACCAUCAAAUUUGGGGAAAUAUGAUUUGGGCAUCGGACCAACUGGAGAUGUAUAAGAAUAUGAAUGUUCCAUCGGUCCACCUAUCAUUCCCUUGUACUUGCGUGCCCGUUAGUUAGCUAUUAUGUUCCUCUUUUUUAUUGGAUCCCAAACACCUCUGCUUCUAGACCAACUUCCAUCGUCGUCUACACAUAUCCCAUGGAGUUAGAGCAAGUUUAAUUAAUACAGUCCACUUGCUGACUGUAAGGUUCCUUACAGCCUUCUUUCAGCCCCACCCAUACAAUAGUUAGUUAUUCAUUAUUAAUACAUGACUCACUUAUCUCUCUUACAAAGUUUUCAGCUUACAACAUGCUUCUCUUCUCUCUCCUCCACCUCAGUAUUUAGCCAGCUUACAGCCCACUAUAAUACUUGCUCUUAUGACAAAUGCCUACUUCUCUCGCCUUUUUAGUGAACACUAUAACUCCUGGAGUCUUCAUAUUAUUCGAAAAAUAAAUUCAAAUUUCAACAAUGACACAUUCAGCAGAAUAAAAAGUCUCCAAAUUUCUAUUAAAAAAGAGCAAACAUUCCUUAUUCAGUCAAACUUGCAAAGGAUUUCAAAACAGAAGACCUCGUAUAACCAUGAGGGUGUAAGUAAUCUCACAAACAAAGCAUCACAAACCACUUAUAAUCUCAAGUCCAUACACGGUACACCACACACUGCAUAGAGCAACUUUAUUUUGUUUUGUAUGAAAAAAGAGGAAAACUCCAGGAAAGAAAAAAGAAAAUUAAACCCAAACUUCAGGAAGGGGAAUCGCAUCCCAAUCGACUGAUUUAGUUGUAGGCGUCGGGGUUGGCGACGAGGUAGGCCUCGGCACCCUUGAAAAUGGCGGUGACUGCCUCCUUGGCCUUGACUUCCUCGUCCUUCUCGUCUACGCCAGGCAGCAGCUUGUAGGUCGACUCCACCUUCACCACGCUGCCGCCGCCGGCCGCGGGCUCCACCUUGAUGUGCGACGCCGCGGUCUCGAUGGCAACACCGAUGCCGCCGCCCUCGACGAGCGUGUUCUUGCACUCGCACUUGUCCACGUCCAGGAAAUCGAGCCUCUCCUUCAUGAAGCUGAACGGCAUGACUGCAAGAACGAUCGCGCACGUCAUUCGCUAGCUAUUUGAUCGAUCGAUCGGGCGACAACAUGUUGGUCUGGGCGACUGGGCAUGCUGCGGACACUUACAUGAGGUGAAGUUGAACUGCCUGACGCUGCCAACGCCGCCGUCGCCCUCCACGGGGUGGGCGCUGGCGACGACGUGGGAGGCGACCUUGGGCGCCAGGGUGUGCCAGUCCAUCACGGCGGCGCGGAACAGGCGCGGCGCGGCCACCGGCGAUGGAAUCUCCAGGGUCCAGCUGCUGGCGGAGGCCAUUACUUCAGUGAUCGGCCGAUCGACUAAACUUGUGCUAGCUGAAGCUGGUUAGGUGCUCAGCUCUAUGGGUGGCAGCUACUGCUUGUGUUGCCAUGACACUGGCGGACUGAGGGCUUUAAAUAAUAGGCCGUUAUGGCGGGGGUUGGUGGCGUCCCGUGAGGAUGUGUAUGAGACGCCCGGGACGGAGUCGUCGUCGGCUCUUCCCACUUGGGUUGGCUUGGCACGGCACCGCGUGACUCAUCGGUCCAUUAGUCCAUUAUUUUAUCGAUAUCAAUAUGUAUGUUGCCGGGCUGCGGACAGCCGGACACACGUCACCAAACGGGCUGCCAUUCCGUCAACGUUCAACAUCUAGAAGGUGUGGAAUAUGUCGUCGAAUGGCACACCGUCGGGUCUGUUUGGAACGAAAGUGAGAGAAAAUACAGGAAAUAGAUAAGGAAUACAAUGGUCCUGUUUAAGUUAGAGGUUAGAGUUAUUCUCUAGUUUAUGACUAGCCCUCAAGUAACUCUAGCCAAAGAGAUGUUUGUAUGCAAGGGUUAGUGUUGAUGCAAAACUGAUCUGCAAACACAAAGGGCUAAUACCCGAUCCAAACGUUAAGGCGUGCCAGCCGAUUUAACCUUACUAUCGGCAAAGGUGAUAACUCGAAUACUUUAGUCCUGACAACAGCGAUGCGCCCGGAUGUCACGGCUAAGAGGUACUCACGCGGAACUUGAGAACACGCCGAGCUUAAGUCGACGAAUUCCUAAGAACUCGUAGUAAAAAGGAAAAAGUACGACGAAGUCGUCGAAAAAGUAGAUGCUGGAAUAUGAGUAAAAACGUGUGUUUGAUUGAUUGAUAGAUAGCUCAUUACAAGGCCCUAGGGUCUAUAUUUAUACCCUGCUCAAAGAGCUACAACCAGACACGAUUAGAAUUCGAAUUCCAAACUACACGGAAUCCGUAUACAAAACGAUGUAAAUAAUUAAAGAAAUAACAAAACUAUCCCCCGUGACAAACUGAAACUCCUCCAUACAACGACCGGCAGCUUCCGGACUCCCUCUUUGCAUCAUCGGCAGAUCUUUUGCCAUAGUCAUCGGCAGACUUUCUUAUCCAGUCAUCGGCACAAUCAUAUCACUGCCUGUAGACUUAGUCACGUUCAACUUCUCCUUCAUCGGCAACCAUCCUCAUCGGCAACUCACCCUGUAAACAUCGUACUGCCAUCUUAUCCUGCCAUCCUAGACACGUGCACAAAAACGGUGUCAACACAUGCCCCCCAGUUUCGGAGUAUAAAACUAUUAAUGCUCCGAAAUUCUCUGCAGUAAUGAUGCCUUUUCCCGCAAUUAAUGCUCCUAAUCUGGUAACCGACAACCUCAAUCUGAACAACUCUGAUCCUAUUCCUCCGCAGAUUCCUCGAAAUCCCCAACUUCCUAAACGGGCAUUUCUUCUCAGUCGUACGUCGGCAAUAAUACCGUUACAAAGAUUUGCCGAUGUUCUGACCAGGAUAUUCGCACAAAUGGUUACUUCCCCUCGAUCCGCCCAUCGGCAAUAUGACCGUUAUAGAAUGCUGCCGAUGGACCGACCAGGAGAUCUAGCACAGUAAAAUAUCUUCAGAUAAUGACCGCUUCCCGUCAAAUCACCUGCACAAUCCCUGGAUUAUCGUGCGAACAGUUACCAUAUCUUCCUGAGUACCCUCGGAUCUCUCGGAAGCGGCAAAGAGAAAAGUCAGAUUUGCCCUUGCCCAUUUCGUCCUAUAAAUAGUUCCUUCUCGGGUACUCCUUCCCUAUCACAUCAUUCCACCACCCAAGUUUACUUUUCCAGCGGCGGCGCCAUCCGAAGCUCCCAAGACCUCCAACAAGCAUUCUUCCUCAUCAACCCCGGUGUCUUCAAACACUUCCUUCGCAGCAAGAUGGCCGUCGGCUUCGUCGUUCCUGAGGUCAAAUCUCCACCCCGUCUCCUGUAUUUUUCUUCAUAUCCCUGUUCACUCGCAAUUCAUUUUACUGAAUAUCUCCCUUUUCUUUUCUCUUUGUAUUUCUUUUUAUCCCAAAAAUCACUAGGAAUUGUCCAAUAAAAUUGUCAUCCCCACUGAUCAACCACACCUCCAAUGUCUCGGUCCUCUAGGAGAUCCAGAUCCAACCGACCUUAUUAAUGCAGAAACCAACAGGAUCCCCUUUAGAACUGAAAAUUUUUCUUUAGAUCUGUGGAAAGAUACCUUCCGUUCUUGGCCUAGCCCUACCGUAGGGUGGAAAGACUGGUUCUUGAGAGUCAGCAAUUCUUAUGAAGUCCAGUGGGGCGAAAGGAAGCUAGCCCAAUGCAUUAGAUUGUCCAUUGCCGAUAUGCAUAGGAACGAGUCAUGCUGAUAGCUGCAUCCUACUUUUGGUCAGACACCCUCAAUGCUUUCGCCUUUGGCCACGGCCCUGCUUCUCCUACCCUUGCCGAUGUGGCCAUGCUUACUGGUCUAGAUAUAUCUUCUGCCGAUAGCACCUACUUUUUUGAUACUGCCCCUAGUGCCAAAGUGGAGACUCGCGCUAUCGGCGGUUGGUCAGGGUACAUUCAGAAGUACCGUGGGAAAGGAUCCGUCACCAUAAAGGAACAAACCACCUUUCUGAACAUGUGGCUGGACAAGUUUGUAUUCUGUGGUCGAUCGGCAGGACCAACUUCCGUUUAUCUAUCGGCAGCGGAGAGACUGGCUAACGGUGGCCAAUUUCCUCUCGGCCGAUACUUGCUUGGCGCUGUUUACCACCUUCUCCAUCAGGUAGCCCAGAAACUCCUGCUCGGCCAGUCCAUCGGCAACCUGGGAGGCCCCUGGUGGUUUAUUAAUAUGUGGCUCAAUCUGCACCUGCAUAAGCGCCUUGAUUUCAACUUGUUCACACAGCACUUCCCAAGAGAUAUAGCCGAAAACCAUGUGUUGGGUGAAGAGGAAUCGGCAACGCGUGCCCCCUUGAACUUUGGCGAAGCUGUCAUCGUUCUACCUGGUUCAGGGAGUAAUCCGGAUCAGAUCGGCCGAUUCUUCCAGGUUCUGUAUGAGGGUUUGGCCAGAGACGAACGACCAUGGUUGGCUUAUGAUGACCCAGAUAGCAUGCUCCCUCUGUCCUUCAAUCCAUUUGAUGAAGCUCUCGACAGGGACAAUGAGACGAUGAUGGCAAUUGUGACUCCCAGAAUCAUUCCAGUGAAUUUUUUUUGGUAGCACAAAAACCUCUCCUCAGACUUAUGAAUUUUACAAUCCAUCGGCAUUAGCUCGCCAGUUAGCUUUCGGCCAGUUGCCGAUUGCACUUCCUUAUGCCGAUGUGAUAAAACCCAGAGAAACCAUCAACAACCUCCUUGAGUGGAUUCGAGUAGCCCAACUACCACCAAACGCCGAUACAGAUGUAGAUCUGUCAGAAUGGGUUCCGGCUGCUUUUAUCACUCAGGCAUACAAGUUAUGGUGGGCAGAGUGGAAAGAGCAUCUAUUCUGCAGAUCGGCCCUUUCAUACCGCGGCAUGAUCGACUCCGAAUACGAAGUUCCCGAUGACACUGUAAGUAACUCAAACCGAUGUUCCAUUUUCUCAAUACUAUUUCCAUCGAUAGCUUACCCUUGUAUUCCUUUCGCAGGUUGACAACAUCCCCCCAUCGGUUAGCAGGAGCGGCAAGCCGAUCGACUUGUUUCCAUCAGGCCCGAUUUCCUCCAUCGGCCACAAUGCUCCUAUCCUGGCUUCCAUCGUGCAUCGGGGUGUGCGUCUCAGGAAAGUCACCACCAGGAGAACCCAGACAUCACCAACGGUAGCUGCUCCCACUCUGGCGCGGGCUUUCAAGGAAAUUUGUCAAAUCUUUUCCUUUAUGCUGACUAUCUUUAUAUCGGCUAUAUUUAUGCUUAUAAACUCUUGUUCGUUAUUGCAGCAAACCGGCGCAUCGGCGAAAGCCAGGCGUGAAAGUGCCGAUGCCCCCCAGUCUAGCCAACCAAAGAGAAAAGGCACCACAGGUGCUAAGACUGGAACAAAGCGCCAGAAGGUAGCAACUCCCCCUCCUCCUCCGGUGUCUCCAAUUCCGGUGGAGUCUUCUCCUUCUUCUCCAGAAGCCCAGCCACAGCAAGCACCGUCUCCCCAACCUAUGCAGGAAGCACCACAGAUAGAAGAACCCCAGCAGGAAGGAUCCCAAACAGAAGGUACAUCAGCUGAUGUGGGUGGACAAACAACUGGCCCGGAGGGUCCAAUUACACCAUCGGCGGUUCUCCCGAUUCAGACAACCGUUGUUCCACCUCCAGGUAACAUACUUUAACAAUACCGCUACCGAUGAACUUAUUCCCAUUUAGUCUCAUAACUCCUCUUAUCUUCUUUCAGCUGAUAUCGUUCCAUCGGCAACCUCAGCCGAUCAACCUGUAGUUCCAUCGGCAUCUUUGGCCGAUCAGCCUGCAGCUCCGUCAGCACUUCUCAGUCAAAGACAAGAGAUCGCCUUGAAGCAAGUAAGUCACCGUUUACCGUUAGCAUUAUUUGCCGAUUCUCUGAAUAUGAGCUAACUUUGCUUUCCCUCCCAGGAACAAGAUUCUCCCGACAGCCUGUUCUCCUUCGCCAUCGAUCUCUCUGAAGAAGAAGGUGAAGAAGCAAGCUCUUCUCAGGCAGUCGGCAUUACAUCGGCAGAGAUCAGGGUCAGGCUGGAAGAAUUGUCAGCUCUCCUUCAUCAGGACACAGCACAAUUGGUUGAUGACUCCGAUCCUACCAAGACCCUGUUCAGAACUCUCAGAGGCCAAAUCCCAGCCGAUGUCGAAGAAAUCCUAUUCCAAGCCGCUCAUCUGGAGAGUCGCCAGCUACAGUACCAGAGAGCUUCUCGGCGUCUUGCCGAUAGAGCCGCUCAGACUCAACUCUCCGAUGAAAUGAGGAAGGAGAAGCUCUUGACCGAUGAGAAGCACAAGAACAUCGGUAUCCUGAGAUCUUCUGGAGACGCGCUGAAGAAGAAAAUAUCCGAUCUGUCGGCAAGAAGAGAAUCCCUGUUGGCGGAGCUCAAGGAAGUGGAGAACGCCCUAUCCCAAGCCCAACAGGAAGAGAGCCAAUUGUCAGAGACCAUCAGGCUUCUUGAGCACGAGCGAAACGCUCAUGGUCGCAAGGCACUUCAACUGAAGAAGAAGCUGAAGCCGAUAGAAGGUUCUGCCGAUGAUGACAUCAAGAAAAUAGAAGCAGCCAACCAAAUUCGGCUACGCGCUAUAUCGGCAAUCCAGGCGUUGCUUAAUACAUAGAGUUUCCAUUGGAUUUAUAUCCGUGCUUUCCUGCUUCCUCAGCUUUUAGUCUAGCCGAUAGGACUGUUAUCGGCACCUAAACUUUUGAAACACCAAGUCUUGUCCCCAAACAUUUGGAUCCAGUCGAUAGGAGUGUUAUCGGCACUUAAACUUCUAUGCAUCGACCCAUAUACUGGGGUAGUACUUCUUUAAAUAUUUGCCGUUUAAUGCUCUGGGAAAUUCAACUCCUUCGAGGGUUUCUAGAAUGUAGGCAUUACCAGGAGCCGAUCGACUUAUCCGAUAAGGACCCUCCCAAUUAGGAGACCACUUUCCAAACUUCGAACCUUUAGUCCCAAUUGGUAGAAUUAAUUUCCACACCAAAUCCCCAUCGGCAAACUCUUUAGCCUUCACUUUCUUAUCAUACCAUCUAGCAACUCUCUUCUUAUUUUCUUCUAUACUCAUUAAAGCUUUUAACCGAUGCCCUGCUAGAUCAUCCAAUUCAUCGGUCAUUAAAGUGGCAUAAUCAUCGGCAGUUAAUUGAUCUUGAAAAGAUAAUCGCCUAGAUCCAGCCUUAAUUUCCCAAGGCAACACCGCAUCAUGUCCAUACACCAAUUGAUAGGGUGACACCUUGGUUGAUCCAUGACAAGCCAUCCGAUAAGACCACAAUGCUUCAUUUAAUAAUGUAUGCCACCGCUUAGGAUUUUCUUCAAUCUUUCGUUUAAUAAGCUUGAUAAUUCCUUUGUUAGACGCUUCGGCCUGCCCAUUGGCUUGAGCAUAAUAAGGAGAAGAAUUCAACACUUUAAUCCCCAUACCGACUGCGAAUUCAUCGAACUCCCCCGAUGUGAACAUGGUGCCCUGAUCGGUAGUAAUCGUUUGGGGAAUCCCAAAUCGGUAAAUAAUAUGCUCCUUCACAAAAUCAAUCAUAUUGGCCGAUGUGACUUUCUUCAAAGGAAUAGCUUCAACCCACUUAGUGAAAUAAUCAGUGGCAACUAGAAUAAACUUAUGCCCUUUGCUAGAUGGUGGAUAAAUCUGGCCGAUCAGAUCGAUGGCCCAUCCCCGGAACGGCCAAGGCUUUAUUAUAGGAUUCAUAGCCGAUGCGGGUGCUCUCUGGAUAUUACCAAACUUUUGACAACCUUGACAUCCCUUGAAAUAUUCAAAACAAUCCUCAAGUAUGGUCGGCCAAAAAUAUCCAUUCCUUCGAAUCAUCCACUUCAUCUUAAAAGCUGACUGAUGCGCUCCACACACUCCUUCAUGGAUUUCCCCCAUCAAACUUCUAGCUUCAUCAUCACCCAAGCAUUGGAGAAGAAUUCCGUCGAUAGUUCGAUAAUACAAUUCAUCUUCAAGAAGCACAUACUUGCUUGCUUGAAAUCGAACCUGUCUUUCAACUUUUUUGGAUGGAUCUUUUAGAUAAUCAAUAAUUUCUUUCCUCCAAUCAUCGGCACCGAUUGCCGAUAUUGCAUUAAUCAUUGGCUGAUAUCCCGAAGCAUGUUGAGCUAACCGAUUGGCGUCUUCAUUAUGCAAUCGAGGAACAUGCUCUAAUCGGAAAUCCUUGAAUUCCUUUAACAGUUGCAUACUUCUCUCGAAAUAAGUUAUGAGAACUUCACUUCGGCAUUCAUAGCUCCCGGCCAAUUGAUUUAUAACCAACAUAGAAUCCCCGAAGAUCUCAACAGCAUCAGCACGAACUUCUCUUAACAACUCCAAUCCCUUGAUCAGAGCCUGAUACUCAGCCUGGUUAUUUGUUGAUGUGGCAACAAUCGGCAAGGAAAACUCAUACUUCCUCCCCUUAGGGGAAACUAAUACAAUGUCGAUUCCUGCCCCCCGGUCACAGGUAGAUCCAUCAAAGAAGAGUGUCCAGGGUACAAUUUCCAAGGUUUCCACCAUACCGCAAUGCUGAGUCACAAAAUCGGCCAUAAUCUGCCCUUUGACUGCCUUGGCCGAUUCGUAACGCAAAUCGAACUCCGACAGCGCUAAAAUCCAUUUACCGAUCCUACCACUCAUAAUCGGCAUAGAUAGCAUGUACCGGACCACGUCAUCUUUGCAAACAACAGUGCAUUCGGCCGAUAACAGGUAAUGUCUCAGCUUGAUACAUGAAAAAUAUAAGCAUAGGCAUAGUUUCUCAAUGGCCGAAUACCUGGUUUCAGCAUCAAUCAACCUCCUACUCAAGUAGUAAAUUACCCUUUCUUUCCCUUCAAAUUCUUGAACUAAAGCUGAACCGAUAACCGAUCCAUCGGCAGACAAAUACAAUCUGAAGGGCUUUCCUUGUUGAGGUGGAACCAGAACUGGAGGAUUUACUAGAUAUUUCUUUAUUUCACCCAGAGCCAACUGCUGUUCUUUUCCCCAAAUAAAUUCUUGAUCGGCUUUCAAUUUAAGAAGAGGACUGAAAGCACGAAUCUGACCAGACAGAUUAGAUAUAAAUCUCCUGAUAAAGUUUACCUUGCCGAUCAAGGACUGGAGUUCGGUCUUGUUGGUAGGGGCCACUAUUUUAUUGAUGGCAUCAAUGGAUCUUCGACUAAUUUCAAUACCCCUUUGAUGUACCAUGAAACCAAGAAACUGCCCUGCCGAUACACCAAAUGCACACUUGUUGGGAUUCAUCUUCAAUCCAUGCUUCCUUGUGCACUCUAACACUUUCUGUAAAUCGGCAAGAUGCUUUGAGAAAUCUCCAGACUUGACCACCACAUCGUCAAUAUAAAUCUCCACGAGCUUGCCGAUGAACUCAUGAAAUAUAAAAUUCAUAGCCCUUUGAUAAGUAGCACCAGCAUUCUUCAACCCAAAGGUCAUGACUAUCCAUUCAAAUAACCCAACAUGACCAGGACACCUGAAUGCGGUUUUUGGAAUAUCCUCCUCUGCCAUGAAUAUUUAAUUGUAUCCUGCAUUACCAUCCAUAAAGCUGAUGACCCGAUGACCAGCUGCAGCAUCAACCAGCAGAUCGGCGACAGGCAUUGGGUAUCCAUCCAUCGGCGUAGCUUUGUUGAGAUUCCUGAAAUCAAUGCACACUCGAAGCUUCCCGUUCUUCUUGUAAACCGGAACAACAUUGGAAAUCCACUCGGCAUACCAACACUGCCGAAUAAACUUAGCUUCAAUAAGUUUGGUGAUUUCGGCCUUAAUAUCAGGUAGAAUGUUAGGAUUACACCGGCGAGCUGGUUGCUGAUGUGGCCGAAAUCCAGACUUGAUGGGUAACCGAUGCUCAACAAUUGACCGGUCUAAACCAGGCAUCCCAGUAUAAUCCCAAGCAAAGCAAUCUUUAUAUUCCUUUAACAAACUAGUCAAUUGUUGCUUACACUCAGGAUCUAAUUUGGCACUAAUAAAAGUAGGCCUAGGCUUAUCACCACUACCUAUAUCUACUUCUACCAAAUCAUCGGCCGAUGUGAAUCCCUGGCCUAAUUUUCCAUCAUCGGCGAAUCUAUCCAUUAAAAACCGUCGUCAGAACCAACUGCUUGGAUCGGUGGAAUCUCGUAAUCGGCAACUUUGAGAAAAUCUUUCUCCCAAACUUCCCCUGAAAUGCACCUGGUCCUUUCGUAAGUAUCCGCCUCUGCCGAUGCGAUAACAUAAGAAGAAUCUCCUGGGACAAUCUCAAUCUUGUCACCUACCCACUGAACCAAGCAUUGGUGCAUUGUAGAUGGGAUACAACAAUUGGCAUGAAUCCAAUCUCUUCCCAACAAUAAGUUGUAAGCACCUUUUCCACUGAUCACGAAGAAAGUUGUUGGCAAGGUUUUGCUGCCGAUGGUGAACUCCACACAUAUUGCCCCCUUGACUGGAGACACGUUUCCUUCAAAGUCUUUGAGCAUCAUAUCGGUCUUGGUCAAAUCAUGAUCCCCUUUCCCAAGCUUCCGAUAUACUGCAUACGGCAUAAUAUUAAUAGCAGCUCCACCAUCAACUAGGAUCUUGGUCAUUGGCUGCCCAUCAACCCUUCCUUUGACAAACAGAGCUUUGAGAUGCUGUCUCUCGUCAUCGGCAGGUUUCUCAAAGUCAGCCGUCAUCGGAUCCAGAGCCAGCUGAGCUAUCUGAUCAGAGAAUUCCAACUCAUCAUCACCGGAUGGUGCAAGAAACUCCAUCGGCAACAUAAAGACCAUAUUGACUCCUGCCGAUGAUCCUUCCCUCUUAGUGUCUGAUGGCUGCUGACUUCCAGAGUUCUCGCCCUUGCUUAGCUCCUCUUGCCUUUCACGUUGCAAUCUCCUUUUCUGUGUCUUGGUUAAUCCUUCAGGACACCAUGGAGGAAGCGGCUUUUGCCUUGCUGCCGGGCGUCGGUUCUCCCUUGACUCCAUACGAUGCGUGUUAGCAUCUCUGCAAAAUAUGAACUCAUCGGGAACCCGCGCAUUAGCCAUCUCUUCGAGCUCUUCCUGGUUCCUGGGAAAAUACUGGACACGUUCACCAAGCCUAUCGUGCACGCUAAGCCUGCCCCCCAGCCGAUCACGAACUGACGCCCUUCCUCUGAUUGGCCCAUCAAAUCGUCGAUCAUCAUCAUGAUAACGCCGAUCGGUCCUAUCGUACCGAUCAUAACCGUUGCACUCAGGGCAGUCUCUGACAGUAGGUAGCUUGAUAUAUUCCUCCCAACAAUGGAUGAAGAACGGACAAUUCCAAUGAUCUCUGUGCCGAUUCCACUCCUGUCGGCGUCUUUCUUCUUCCCGUCGAUAAUCUUCUUGCUGGCGCCGAUACCGAUCCUCUCGUUGUUGCCAAUUUUCUCGAGGCCUUCUAUGAGUUAUAACGAUACCGGACCGAGGAGGCCUUCCUGAGCUAGUUCCUUCCUGAACCAAGCCUUUACUUCUUGCAUCGGCAGUAGUAACUUGAUGCUGAGGAUCUACCGAUGCACUCUUCUCAGCUGUUUCUGAUGUUAAGACCUUAGCCUUCCCCUUAGCAUCCAACAUGUUUGUCGGGAAAGGAUGUUGGUCUAUCUUCAUCGGCUUCUGGGCCUUGGAACUGUCAAACUUGAUUCUCCCAGACUCUAUAGCCGAUUGCAGCUGCUGUCUGAAUACUUUGCACUCGUUGGUAUCAUGGGAAGUUGCAUUAUGCCACUUGCAAUAUCUCAUCCUCUUUAACUCUUCUGCCGAUGGGAUCACAUGAUUAGGUGACAGUUUGAUCUGACCUUCCUGAAGUAGAAAGUCAAAUAUCCUAUCGGCCUUAGCGGUGUCAAAAGCAAACUUCUCUGGUUCCUUAUGCCCAAAAGGACAAGACAUCGGCUUCUUGUUUUUUACCCACUCUGCCAAGCCGAUUACUGGCUCUUCAUCAGAAUCUGAGCUUGUUGCUUCAUCGACAAAUGACACUUUCUUAAUCCAUGCUCUUUUGGGCUCGAAAGGCUUGAUGUCUUGAUCAGAAAUCCUCUGCACCAAAUGACUCAAACUUUCGAACUCCUGAGAGGCAUACUUAUCCCUGAUAUGUGGCAACAAACCCUGGAAAGCCAAAUCGGCUAGCUGCCGAUCAUCCAGAACCAAGCUAUAGCAUUUAUUCUUGACCUCUCGUAUCCUCUGCACAAAACCCUCAACUGACUCAUCAUUACGUUGCCUCAACUUGACCAAGUCGGUGAUCUUCUUCUCAUGAACCCCCGAAAAGAAGUAUUUGUGGAAUUGUUUCUCCAGAUCGGCCCAAGUAAUUACUGAAUUAGGAGGUAAUGAUAUGAACCAAGUAAAGGCCGAUCCAGACAAUGGUGACGAAAAUAGACAAACCCUCAAUUCGUCCUUGUUACCAGCCUCUCCACAUUGAAUGAUGAACCUGUUGACAUGCUCCAUGGUUGACGUAUCGUCCUGCCCGGAAAACUUGGUAAAAUCCGGUACCUUGUACCGAUGUGGAAGCGGGAUCAAAUCAUACGCGGGAGGAUACGGUGUCCGAUAAGAGUAAGUGUUGACUUUGGGUUUUAUCCCAAAUUGUUCCCUCAUUACUUCAGCAAUCUUAUCGGCCCAAUAUGCAUCGGCAUCCUGCCGAUGGUGUGGCUGUGGAUCUGGCACUUGGUGACGAACCUCCACGUGUCUAUUCGGGACGUGAUCUGCACGGAACAUUGGAUUGAUCACCUGCCCUCCAAUCUGCGGACCACCAAACUGCUGUCCACCGAUUUGCUGUCCCCCGAGUUGCUGUCCCCCGAGUUGCUGUCCGAAAUUCAUUGGCUGGUUGGGAAUCCCCUGACCUUGGAACCCGGGAUAGACCUGUCCUUGCUGGAACCCUGUAGUCUGAUAACUCUGCUGGGGCGAUUGCGGAAAGACUUGUUGUCCAAGCCAUCCAUUAUUAGCGUUCAUCGGCAUAGGCGCUGCCGAUGACUGGUAAUUGGGUAUCAUCAUUGAAUUGACAUACCCCGACUGUGCCAUAGACCUCUGUUGCAUCAGCAUUGAUUCUGCCGAUGCAUUAGGCAUCUGGAACGUUGAAUCUUGAGGAUUUCCAGUGUGAGGCCUUGCAGUAGUGGUUGUGGUAUACCGGGGACUCUGGUUCAAUGGCACAUUGGGAGGCGCCGAUGUCAUAGGAGUCUUGCCCCUCAUGUCGGUUAUCUGCGAUGUACCUGGCGUCAAUUCUGGAGGCAUACCAUAACCCCACCAGUUGGGAGGAAGAGUCAACCCUGACAUUGCCGAUGCCAACAUAUCUGUAGUCAGCUUAUUCUGCCCACCUGAAGUCUGCGGGUUAGUUGUCAUCGGCACAGAUAGAGCACCAGAAGCUCCCGAUGUACUUGGAGGGACGGCAGAUUGUGCACUUGCAGCCGUCAAAGCAGCCGAUGGAGCCGUGACUUCUGGUGCCGUGGGCUGGUGAUGAGAGGGGCCCACAUAAUCUGGUGGGAUUUGUCCUUCCUUGAAAGUUCUUGCCACGGCAUUGAAAACCGUAUUAGACAGUACACCAGCUUGGUUGAUCAAAGCUCAGUUGAUAGCAUUGUCAACCAUAUCUUGAAGCUUGCCAGGAUUGGCGUCGAAGGUAACCUGCCGUGGUGCCGGCAGUGCAUCUUUCUGGACCACUUCGCCGCUCCUGUUUAUGCUGAAAAACCUCAGGCAUUGCUGCUUGAACUCUUCCAUGGCUUGGGCAAUAGCUUGCUUCUGCUCAUCCUUGAGAUUGGCCUCCGUCACGGGGAUGACGUUCUCCUGAUCGAGGUCAGAGAUCGACAUGUUGAUCUUGAUCUUGAAUCCUGUCCCACCGAGCGUGCCAAAAGAUGUGUUGAUGCAAAACUGAUCUGCAAACACAAAGGGCUAAUACCCGAUUCAAACGUUAAGGCGUGCCAGCCGAUUUAACCUUACUAUCGGCAAAGGUGAUAACUCGAAUACUUUAGUCCUGACAACAGCGAUGCGCCCGGAUGUCACGGCUAAGAGGUACUCACACGGAACUUGAGAACACGUCGAGCUUAAGUCGACGAAUUCCUAAGAACUCGUAGUAAAAAGGAAAAAGUAUGACGAAGUCGUCGAAAAAGUAGAUGCUGGAAUAUGAGUAAAAACGUGUGUUUGAUUGAUUGAUAGAUAGCUCAUUACAAGGCCCUAGGGUCUAUAUUUAUACUCUGCUCAAAGAGCUACAACCAGACACGAUUAGAAUUCGAAUUCCAAACUACACGGAAUCCGUAUACAAAACGAUGUAAAUAAUUAAGGAAAUAACAAAACUAUCCCCCGUAACAAACUGAAACUCCUCCAUACAACGACCGGCAGCUUCCGGACUCCCUCUUUGCAUCAUCGGCAGAUCUUUUGCCAUAGUUAUCGGCAGACUUUCUUAUCCAGUCAUCGGCACAAUCAUAUCACUGCCUGUAGACUUAGUCACGUUCAACUUCUCCUUCAUCGGCAACCAUCCUCAUCGGCAACUCACCCUGUAAACAUCGUACUGCCAUCUUAUCCUGCCAUCCUAGACACGUGCACAAAAACGGUGUCAACAGUUAGAUUGACAAUAAAUAUACUCUUCCAUUCAUUUGGCUUCUUCCCAGCCAGAUUUGUUGUGGCCGGCUGUUGUGUGGCCUCCUCCCGCUCACAAAUGACAUUGCGUCACAUAGUACCUUGCGUGCCGUUUUGCCAUUACUGGCAGUGGGCCAUUUUGCCAUUGCUCCACAUGGUACCUUGCGGGCUAUUUUGUAAUUAUUGGGAGGCGGCAACACGGUUGGGAGGCGGCGACACGGCUUGGAGGUGGCGGCGCGGUUGAGAGGCGGUGGCGAGGCGAGUUGGGAGGCGACGGUGUUGGUAACCGGGAGGGGUCGUGGCUGGGACGCAUCGCGAGUGGGGAUCGCGUGCGACACAGCCGAUCGCUUUCUCUAUGGGCCCAACCUCAAAUAGCCCCAAAUAGCGCAAAUAAGCACCUCUUUGGGGGGAUAGUUUUUUGGGUGGGUUAGAUGCAAAUAACCCCAAUCUAACCCUCAUGUUUGGAUACUUUACGGCAAUUUGAGCCUCAAAUAACUAAAUCUAACUCUAACCCAUGGAUCCAAACAGGACCAAUGACAAAAUAGAGAAACAAAAGAACAUAGGAAUUUCACUGGGUAAGACUGUCUUCAACAAGGAGACCCAAAUACAAAUAUAUGUCCUACAUAGUGUUUUGCAUACUGAAAUCAUGCUCCAACAAAGGACCCAAUUUAGAGACCCAUUUUAGGUACGACGCGAGAAGAAACACAAAUAUGCGUCUGUCGGCGUCUAGACUCGAGGUCUAGGCACUAACAAGUAUAAAUCUGCGUGACUUACCAAGCUUGGAUGGUGAUGCAAGUGAGACACAGAGGGUUUAUACUGGUUCGGGCUAAGAAUGCCCUACGUCCAGUGUAGUGGUGGAUUCUGUAUAACCUUGCACCCAAAGGUGCUUGCAGUAGGGGGUACAAGCUGGUUGCGAGAGAGGGCUAAGUCCCAGGUCUCGGCUUGGUGUGGACAGAGUGCGGGCUGCUGCUCUGUGAAAGAGUGUUGUGUGCGUGUUCUGGGCCUGUCUCUCCAGUUAUGAACCCUGGCUCCCCUUUUAUAGUCUCAAGGGAAGGCCAGGUAUUUACAUGAGUAGAUUUCUUUUAUUGAGGGGUGAAAACACAGGCCCGACCCUGUUGAGGCUGGUCCAUCUCGUCCUUGUGGGAUGGUUGACGGCAUGGCUGUUCCUGUAGAGGGUUACCGAACCCUGUAGGGGUCGCGGGGGUCGGAUCGCCGGCACUGCUGCAUAUCCUGUCAACAGUGGAAAUGACCACAAAUAGUGGUGCUGAUUUACGUUACCCAUUCCCUUUCUACUGUGCGGUGAUGUGCUACAGUGAACAGGGGUAAGGAUGUAUAGUGACAGAGGUAAGGCUGCAGUGACUGGGGUGGUUGAAACAGUUGUCGCCUUGCCCUGCUGCGUUAUGGGGGCCGUCGCAUCCGUCAUGUUGGGGGAAGUCUAGUUGCCCAGGUGGAGUGGGGUCCGGCGUCCGAGCCUGGACGGGGUCGGGCGAGUCGGAACUGGCGUCCGAGGCCCUGAGGGGUCGGGCGAGUCGGAACUUGCGUCCGAGGCCCUGAGGGGUCGGGCGAGUCGGAACUUGCGUCCGAGGCCCUGAGGGGUCGGGCGAGUCGGAACUUGCGUCCGAGGCCCUGAGGGGUCGGGCGAGUCGGAACUGGCGUUUUUUGUUGCUCUGAUUUGGGUAUCCCUUAUUAUGGUACCCAACAGUAGCCCCCGAGCCUCUGAAGAGGUGAGGUCACCUCUUUAGGGGUUCUUUCCCCGUGGACCGUAGUCGACUCGGAGCCUUUUACUGUUGCCGGGGGGGUGCGCGCGAGCGCACCCGCCGGGUGUAGCCCCCGAGCCUUUUGGAGGAAUGGUGUUAUUCCUUCAAAGGCUUUUACCCCUUGAGAUCUUUAGUCUGGAGUGUUUUAUGGGAUAGUUUGCGUGUUCUUUACACGUAGUGUCUGUUCCCAUGGUGCGAGGAAGCCCCCGAGCCCUUUCCCCGGGAGGGUCGAUCAGGUUCUUUCUCGUCUUGUAAUUCCGUCCCUCAUUCUUCCUUUUGCUCGGAGGAGGGGUGGGUCGUGCCGUCCUACCCUUGGUGGGCGAGUGACGACACUUCCCGGGAGCUGCAGGCGGGUAGAUCCGAGUGGAUGUCUGAGUCCCGUUCGAUAGGGGUCGGCUAGUGGCCUUAUGGGCACAUCUCAAAAGGUACCCGAGGGCAGUCACGGUGGAUGUCGGAACCGUUCGUUAGGGCCCGAGGGCUCGAUGCCUCCCUCGAUGGGAUCCCACUCUCCUGACACCCGCAUGGGUCUCGGAUAUGACUUGCAAAGAUGCGCCGACUCCCUGUAGGGUUCGGACCUUGGCCUCUAUCGUGCUCAUCUCCAGUCAUCCCUCACUCAGUUAUCCUGAGGCGACUGUUCGAACCUGUGUCGCAGGUCAGUCUCGAAACCUCUGGAACGUAGGUGGCCAUGGCCUGGGGAUUUUGGGCCUUAAAAGGUUUUCUUUAGACCCGUUCUUUCGUGUUGGGGUCGGGCGAGACGGAGUCUGACGCCCGACGGAGACCUCCAUGCGAUGCUUAGCCAGCGGGGGGUCGGGCGCCGCGUCUCUUGGAAGGAACCGCCCUGUCAUAACUUUUCAGGGCGCUCCUUUUGAGGCGUGGCGCGUGGGGACUCGAAACGGCUGUGCCGUCUCGCCCCGGUUUGGACGGGACGUUUCGCCUGCGAAUUUAAUGCGUGCGUGCGGCGGGCGCGGGAAUCGGAGGGAGUUGGCGCUUCGAGUUUUUCACCUGAGCGGGCGACGGUUGCGCUCUUUCUCUCUCUCUUGGCCUUCCUCGCAGGGGCGUGGUCGUGGCUCGCUCCCUUCUAUAAAAGCGGCCGCUGGGGUUUUGGUUUCUUUCCUCUCGCUCUUGCGCCACAAAACCUUUGCCUCCUGCCCCUUCUUCUGCCGCCGUCUCUUCCACCUCCAUCGCACAGGCCUCCUUCUUCCUCCUAGAGCCAUGGCCGGCGUCGAGGCGUGGCCGCCUAGCAACGUGACCAAGUCCGCGCUGGAGGCGCGCGUGAGGGCCGGGAUUCUUCGUCCUCUCAAGGACGUCGGGUUCCCGGAAUGGAUCGUUCCCUCGGCGAACGACAGGGAGCCAAACCCGCCUCCGGGCUAUGUGGUGUGCUUCCUGUCGUUCCUAGACCGGGGGUUCGGGGUUCCGGCCGGCCGCCUGAUCAGGGCCAUCCUCCACUACUACGAGGUGGAGUUGCACAACCUGAACCCAAACUCGGUGAUGCAGGCCGCCGUCUUCACCACGAUUUGCGAGGGGUUCCUGGGGGUUCCUGUCAAUUGGAACCUCUGGCUUCACCUCUUCAAGGCGGACAUGUCGGCCCGCUAUGUGGGGAAGGAGAAGAUCCCCCUGCGGGCCGGCGGUUGCACGCUGCAGCUUCGCCAGCAACGGUCCGGACUGUACAUUUGGACCACGAUGCCAUCGUCAAACCGGGGGUGGCAGAGCACGUGGUUCUACCUCCGGAAUGACGGUGGUCUUCUGCCGAAGUACUCUGGAAAGAUGGUGACAGAGGCCCCCCAGAAGUGGGCGUGGGGCGCUCCGGCCAAGGAGCAGAAAAGGCUCGCCCCGCUUCUUGCGGGGCUUCAGAAGCUGCGAGAGGCCCGAGUUACUGCGGCCACGGUGGCAACGGCGUUCCACAAGAGGAGCCUGCUUCCGCUAGCGCAGCGCCGGGUGCCAAUGUUCGAAAUGACAUGGGACGUCCCUUGGGCAGGGACGAGGAUGUUAGCCGAGCCGAUAUCGGCUUCGGACAUCGCCGCCCGGGUCAAGAAGACCACACACCCGGAGAUGAAGAACUCCCGGGUGGUGCCGAUGCGCCCUGAAAAGGGCUACAUUUCCUUGGUAAGAAGGUGUCCUUUCAUUUCGAUCACCUGCUCCCGUUUUUUCUUUCACCUGAUUUCCUUGUUGAUCUGCUUGCUCCACAGGGGAUCGGGGCCGUCAAGGACUCCCUGCCCCCCCGUCCCGGAGGACAAAGAGAUCCGGGCCAAGAAUCGGGCCCGGAACGAGGAGCAAAAGAAGAUCAAGGAAGGGAAGAAGGCUAAGGCGGCGCGAAGGGCGGAGAGACGGGAGGUCGCCUCCAAGAACCGCCAUGAAGCCGAGAAGGCAGGGGUCGCCCCGCCUCCGUCUCCUGAGACUUCAGUCUCGGAGAUCGAGGGCGGGGGCGGCGACGUCGACUGGCUCGACGAGCUGAUGGAGGAGGACGACACAGUCCCUCCUACCGGAGGGAUCGAGACCCCGGAGGGGUCCAAGGCCCGAGGUGGGUCGGGGACCCCCGAGGGGACCCAGACACCGGGGGGCGGGCAGCCCGUCCCCCACAUCGUUGUGGACGACGAGGACGGCGCCCCUCGUGAAGAUUCGGCCCCCGUGGGCCUCCAAGAGGGGGAGAAGGCGUCGGAGGCCGAGCCCGAGGAGACCCCUCAGUUGGUAGCGCCGGAGGGUCCGACCGAGCCCAUCCCAAUGUCUAGGACGGGAGCUGGAGCCUCCGUGGAGGUGUUGCAGGCUGAGGCCCUCAUGGCGCCCCCUGCGCCGUCGGCGAGCGAGGCAGGGGUCCGGCCAUCGGCCUCAGGCGCCGCGGGAGACCCCCAAGGAGCCCAGGGCUCGUAUAAGAAAUCUGCUCCCCGGGCGAGGUAAAGAUAGCAUUCCUGAUCCUUUUGCCGAUUUUUUGUUUUUCUCUUUCUUCUAACUUGAUGUCGUUCUCCCAGCCGUAAGCAGAAGGCGCCCUCAGUGGCGCUGGCCCCCCUGAAGGCCGUAAAGAGGGGGGCUCAGUCGACUCCCGGGUCAGCUAGGCCCGUGUCUCCGCCGCCUCCAGGCUACGAGGAGGCAGGGCACCACCCGGGGCAAGACACGGGGGCGCCGAAACCCCAAGGAUAGGAGGACGCUGACCUCGGAGGCGCAGCCCGUCCUACGUGCGCUGAGGAGGGGCGAGCCAUCGUGGUGUCCAGCGCGGCGCCUGAGGCCCCCGCGGCGGGAAGGGAGGAGGAAGCCGGGUGGGGCAAGAGCCCCGUGAUCUGGCCCAACCUCGGCGAUGCCGAGGGAGGAGCCAGAUUUGUCCUGGAUGACCCGUCAGAGAAUUACCUCUAGCAGGGUCUGGACGCGUGUGGGCGUGCCGGUGUCGAGGCCCUCAACCGAGCUACCCAGCUCGUGGGUCGUGACAUGUUUAAUUUGGCUCAGGUGAGAUUUUUAUCCGUGUUAUGGAGUAGUUUUGUGCUUACCUUUGUGUUACUAACCCCCUGUGGGACCUCUGAUCUUGCAGGCGCUCAAGGCCACCUCCCAGGAGAAAUCGGUGUUUCUCCGUCGGGAGAAGGAUGCUUGGGUGUCCUUUGAGAAGGAGAGGGCUGCCAGGGAGGCGGCCGAGGGGGAGCUCGCGAAGGAGUGCGAGAUUUCCGCCGAUCUUCGGCAGAAGUGCUCAGCACUGGCUACUGAGGCUCGGGAGGCCCGAGACAGGGUCGCCCCCCUGGAGGAGAGGGUCGGGGCCCUCACGCAAGAGUCCGGGGCGCAGAAGGCGGCGGCUGAGGGGUACAAGGGUGAGGUCGCUCGGCUUGAAGCUUUGCUCGCCGAAAAAGACCUCGCCUUGAACCAAGCUCAGACCGACCUGGCCGGGGCUCUGAGCCAGGUGUCCCGCUGGCAUCAGAGCUCGGCCGAGUACGAGAAGCGCGCCAAGGGUAGGACUUGCGCCCUUUUCCUUAGACGCCUUUGUACUUUUGAGUUGGCUUUUCCUGACUUCUCGUUUCUUGCUCUGUUUUUUGAUCAGAAUUGGAGGUGAAGGUGGUCGAGGCGACCUCUACUGCCGAGGCCCUGAAAAAGUCCCUCGACGCUGAGGCUUCGGACCGCUCGGCUCUUGAAGCCGUGGUCACCUCGGCGUGUGAGGGGCUCGGGGUAUCGGUGUCGGGGUCGUCGCUGCGCAGUCGGGUCGAGGCCCUUUACUCCCGGGCUGGGGAGAGGAUGAGGGAGGCGCUCCACACCGGGGUGAAGAAGGCCCUGGUGGUGGUGAGCUCUCACUAUGCCGGCAUUGAUUUGCCGGCGGUUUGUGAGGGCUACGUCCUCUCUGAUGACGAAACAGAAGCCCAGGAGGAGGUGCAGAGGCUUGAUGAUGCCGCGGCUGUCCCUGGAGACGCCUUGGCCGCCUUUUUUGACGAUGAGGCGGAGCUUCCCCCCCUCGGGGCUCAAGGACCUGAGUAGAUAGGUCAAUAGGAUUCUUAGUUUUUCUUUUCUUUUUGUGGGUGUUGAGGCCGGUGGGCCUUGUAACAUAUAUAUAUAACGUUAAUGUCGAAUGUAAAUAUAACUGCUCUUUUUGAGUAUUUUCCCUAAGUAUCUUGUUUCCUUUCUCUUUAUACCGAUCCGACCUCGGCAGCGCGGGGUCGGGUGAGCUACUUAAAGUUAUCGCGCAGGUCGGAGUUCCUAGGCCUAAGUGCUUUUCCUUUUUCCUUAGUGAUUCUUGGAAGUCCGAAUUCGUUCCCGAAUCUAAGGUGAGUUGAGGUGGUCUUUGCCCGUGAGCGCAGAUCCUUCCUCGAGCUCAUGCCUUAAGAUUUAGGGGUCGGAUUCUCGGUUUCUUGAAUCUUUUUAGGAAGGAGGAGGAAGACCUUGGGUCUGGGUUCUUUUAACUUGUGUGAAAGAAGAAAAAGAUUCGGAGUCGACAUAGGGGGUUCCCCCCAUGUAGCCCCCGAGGGAGGUUCGGACUCUGCUCGGCAGGUCCGAGACUCUCUGAUAACUUAAACUUUGAUUUAUUCCUUGGAGGCGAUGGACGAACAAAGAAAUUUUUACAAAGCUCUAAGGGAAAAAACGACGUAGCUGUUCUAUGUUCCAUGCGUUUUUGAAGACCUCCCCUGCUUCAUUGGCGAGCUUGUAGGUGCCUGCUCGGAGAACCUCGGCGAUGACGAAAGGUCCUUCCCAGGGGGGUGUGAGCUUGUGACGACCCUUGUUGCUCUGUCUGAGCCUCAGCACCAAGUCGCCGACUUGAAAGGCUCGGCCUCGGAUUCGUCGUGCGUGGUAUCGGCGGAGGGCCUGCUGGUAUUUGGCAAAGUGUAAGAGGGCUACGUCCCUGGCUUCAUCCAGCUGGUCCAGCGCGUCUUCUUGGAACGUCUUGCCGCUAUUUUCGUCGUAGGCUUGUACCCUUGGGGACCCGUACUCCAAGUCAGUGGGGAGGACAGCUUCCGACCCGUAGAUCAUGAAGAACGGGGUGAAGCCUGUGGCUCGGCUUCGGGAGGUUCUCAGGCUCCAGAGCACGGCUGGUAGUUCCUUGAGCCACCUUUUCCCAAACUUGUUCAGUCGGUUGAAAAUCCUGGGCUUCAAACCCUGGAGGAUCAUGCCGUUGGCACGUUCCACUUGACCAUUGGUCUUGGGGUGAGCCACCGCCGCCCAGUCCACACGUAUGUGGUGUCUGUCGCAGAACUGCAAGAACUUUCGCCCGGUGAACUGUGUGCCGUUGUCGGUGAUUAUGGAGUUCGGUACUCCAAAUCGAUGGAUGAUGUCUGUGAAGAAUAAAACGGCUUGCUAGGCCUUGAUCCUUGUAAUAGGUCGGACUUCGAUCCACUUAGAGAACUUGUCGAUUGCGACAAGCAAGUGGGUGAAGCCCCCAGGCGCUUUCUGCAGAGGCCCGACCAGGUCAAGGCCCCAGACAGCGAAAGGCCAAGUUAUGGGGAUCGUUUGCAGGGCCUGAGCAGGGAGAUGCGUCUGCCGAGCGUAGAACUAGCAUCCCUUGUAGGACCUGACGAUCUCUGUGGCGUCGGCUACAGCGGUGGGCCAGUAGAAACCUUGUCGGAAGGCAUUUCCUACCAGCGUCCGAGGCGCGGCGUGAUGGCCACAAGCCCCCGAGUGUAUGUCCUGUAGGAGCUUGACUCCUUCCUGACGUGGGAUGCAACGCAUAAGGAUGCCCGAGGGGCUGCGUUUGUACAUUUCCCCGUCGAGGAGGACGAAGGUCUUGGCACAACGAGCCACGCGUCUCGCUUCAGCCUGGUCCAGGGGCUGAGUGCCAUCGACCAGGCGUUGAAGCAAAGGGUAGCGCCAGUCAGGCGAGUCGUCAGUCGCAGGUGGCUCUGGCUCGAUGUCCAUGGCCUCCUGUUCUUGGGCGACAGCGUCUUUGGGGUCGGCACUCUGUUUGUUUUGGGGCUCAUCCGACCCCCCGUCGUCCUUGUAGUCGACGGAAGGUUUGUAGAUGUCGCUGACGAAAACAUCCUGGGGGACGGUGGCCCGCUCGGAUGCCAUCUUGGCGAGCGCGUCGGCGGCUUCAUUAUACUUUCUUAACACGUGGUUAAGUUCGAGGCCGUCGAAUUUCUCUUCCAGGCGUCGAACCGCCUUGCAGUAUGCGUCCAUCUUGGGGUCAUGGCAGCUAGAUUCUUUCAUGACUUGAUCGAUGACGAGUCUGGAAUCGCCUCGGAUGUCGAGCCGCUUGAUCCCAAGUUCGAUCGCGAUGUGAAGACCGUUCACAAGGGCCUCAUACUCUGCUGUAUUGUUUGAAGCAGGGAAGUGGAGCCGGAUCGCGUAUCGCAUCCUUACCCCGAGGGGUGAGAUGAAGACAAGGCCUGCGCCGGCCCCAGUUUUCAUCAGAGACCCGUCGAAGUACAUGGUCCAGCAUUCGUGCUGGAUUUGUGGGGGUGGGAGCUGAGUCCCCGUCCAUUCUGCCACAAAGUCUGCCAGGACCUGGGACUUUAUGGCCUUGCGAGGCUCAUAGGCGAUCCCAUCGCCCAUGAGCUCUAUGGCCCAUUUGGCAAUCCUCCCGUUGGCCUCUCGGUUCUGAAUCACUUCUCCCAGAGGGAAAGAUGAGACCACUGAGACUGGGUGAGAUUCGAAGUAAUGUCGGAGCUUGCGCCGGGCCAACACCACAGCGUAGAGUAAUUUUUGAAUCUGGGGGUAUCGGGUCUUUGUGUCGGAGAGUACUUCACUGACGAAGUAUACCGGCCUUUGGACCGGCAGGGCGUGUCCUUCUUCCUUCCUUUCGACCACGAUAGCUGCGCUGGCCACCUGAUCAGUGGCUGUGACGUAAAGAAGAAGUGGUUCCCCCUCGGCGGGGGGCACCAGGAUGGGAGGGUUGGUGAGCAGAGACUUGAGCUUGUCGAGGGCUUCCUGGGCCUCGAGGGUCCAGGAAAAUUGCUCAGAUUUCCUUAGUAACCUAUACAGAGGCAGCCCUUUUUCUCCGAGGCGAGAAAUGAAACGGCUUAGGGAGGCGAGACAUCCCAUUACCCUCUGUACUCCCUUUAGGUUACGGAUGGGACCCAUAUUCGCGACGGCCGAGACCUUUUCUGGAUUGGCCUCGAUCCCUCGCUCAGACACGAUAAACCCAAGGAGCAUGCCUCGGGGGACCCCGAAAACACACUUUUUGGGGUUGAGUCUGAUCCCUUUUGCCCUGAGGCAUCAGAACGUUUCUUCCAGGUCGACAACCAGGCCGCUCGCUUUCCUGGACUUGACGACGAUGUCGUCUACGUAUGCCUCUACCAUUUUGCCUAUAAGGUUCCCAAAAACCUGGAGCAUACAUCGUUGAUAUGUAGCCCCCGCGUUCUUGAGGCCAAAAGGCAUGGUCACGUAGCAAUACAUUCCGAAAGGGGUGAUGAAUGAAGUCGCGAGCUGGUCGGACUCUUUCAUCUUGAUUUGGUGGUAGCCGGAGUAAGCAUCAAGGAAAGAUAAAAUUUCACAUCCCGCGGUGGAGUCAACUAUCUGAUCAAUACGGGGCAAUGGAAAGGGAUUCUUUGGACAUGCUUUAUUUAAACUAGUGUAGUCUACACACAUCCUCCACUUCCCAUUUUUCUUUUUAACUAGCACGGGGUUGGCUAACCACUCGGGAUGGAAUACUUCCUUGAUGAAUCCGGCCGCCAGCAGCUUGUGGAUCUCCUCCCCGAUGGCCCGGCGCUUCUCCUCAUCGAAUCGGCGUAGGCGUUGCUUCACGGGUUUGGAACCGGCUCGGAUGUCCAAGGAGUGCUCGGCGACCUCCCUCGGUAUGCCAGGCAUGUCCGAGGGACCCCACGCAAAUAUGUCAGCGUUCGCGCGGAGAAAGUCGACGAGCACCACCUCCUAUUUGGGGUCGAGGCUGGAGCUGAUCCUCAACGCCUUGCCUUCAGAGGUCCCGGGGUCGAGGAAAACUUGCUUGGUCUGCUCCGCCGGCUCGAAGCUUCCGGCGUGACGUUUGGGGUCGGGGACGUCUUGGUCGCAGUCGCCGAGGCCAGUAAGGAUGGCUAGAGAUUCUGCCAAGGCCUCGGCCUGCUCGACGCACUCGACGUCGCACUGGUAGGCGUGCUGGCUGGUCGUGCUGAUGGUGAUGAUGCCCUUUGGCCCUGGCAUCUUGAGCUUGAGGUAAGUGUAGUUGAGGACGGCCAUGAACUUGGCGUAGCAUGGUCGUCCCAGGAUCGCAUGGUAGGUUCCUGGGAACCCGACCACAUCGAAAGUGAGGAACUCUCGUCUGAAAUUGUCAGGGGUCCCGAAGCAGACGGACAGGUCGAUCUGUCCGAGGGGGUGGGCACGAUGCCCGGGCACCACUCCGUGGAAUGGUGCAGUGUCGUUCCUCAGCCGAGACCUGCUGACCCCCAUGAGGGCCAAAGUCUCGGCGUAGAGAAUGUUGAGGCCGCUGCCUCCGUCCAUCAGCACCUUAGUGAGACGGGUCUCGGCGAUGAUGGGGUCGACGAUCAGAGGGUAGCUCCCGGGAUUGGGGAUCCGAUCCGGGUGAUCCUGUCUGUCGAACGUGAUCGCGCUUUCGGACCAUUUGAGGUACGAGGGCGCGGCCGUGCUGAUUGCGCAAACUUCUCGGAGUUCGCGCUUCCUCUGACUCGCAGUGAGGCGAGCCGCUCGUCCCCCAAAGAUCAGAAGGCAGUUCUUGACCUUUGGGAAAUCCUCCCCCUGGAGGUCGUCGUCCCUAGGAGGCUCUUCGGCACUCUCUUUGGUGAGGAUGUCGGUGUAGUACCGACGGAGGACGGUGCACUCCUCUAGGGUGUGUUUGGUUGGCCCCCUGUGAUAGGGGCAUGGCUUCUUCAACAUUUCGUCGAAGAGACCGGGGCCAGCCGGAGCCCGCUUGGGGUUCUUGCGAUCUACCGCAGCGACCAGGUUGUCGUCUGGCUGUCCCUGCUUCCCCUUGCGACCCUUCUUCUUCUUCUUUGGGUCGCGCGAGCUCGAGGCCUCGGUAGCCUCGGCUUUUUGUUUCCCCUUGGCUGUGCUGUCGGAGAAAAUGGCGCCAACUGCUUCUUCGCCUGAGGCAAAGUUGGUGGCGAUGUCGAGUAGCUGGCUCGUGCUUGUGGGGGUCUUGCGUCCGAGCUCGUGUACCAACUCCUUGCAGGUGGUACCGGAAAUGAAGGCUCCGAUCACGUCGGAGUCCGUGAUGUUGGGGAGCUCGGUGCAUUGUUUGGAGAAUCGCCUGAUGAAGUCUCGGAGGGACUCGUCAGGUUUCUGCCGGCAACUCCUGAGGUCCCAGGAGUUCCCAGGGCGCACGUACGUGCCCUGGAAGUUCCCGACAAAGAUUCUGACCAGGUCAGCCCAGUCAUGGAUCAUGCGCUCAGGGAGGUGCUCAAGCCACGCCCUGGCCGUGUCGGCCAGAUGCAGUGGGAGGUUACGGAUGAUAAGCAGGUCGUCAUCCGCCCCGCCUAGCUGGCAUGCCAGGCGGUAAUCCGCCAGCCAGAGCUCAGGGUUCGUUUCCCCUGAGUACUUGGCGAGGUUGGCGGGCUGUCGGAACCGCGCCGGGAACUUGGCCCUGCGUAUGGCCUCGCUGAAGACGCGGGGACCCGGAGGCUCUGGUGAUGUGCUUCGGUCGUGAACAGGGUCGUACCUCCCGCCUCGGCGUGGUCGGUAACGUCGGGACUCGGCCUCGUCCCUGUCACGUCGCCUGGCCUCGAGGGUGGCCCGUACGUCCGCGUCGGCUCCGACGCGCUCGUGGACUGACGGGGCCCUGUUGCCCCUUGUGGGUUAGGGGGUGGCAGGCCCUGUAUUGUUGGUGCCUUGUUAGGAGGGGGCGUUCCCCAUGACGUCUCGUGCUAUGGGAUUGUGAAGCAGAACUUUCCGCGUUCUGCACCACAGCCUGCUCUAGGAGGCCACGUAGCCCCUGGCGCACUCUCCUUCCCUCAGGAGUCGAGGGCUCGGGCAUUGCCCUGAGGAGGAGUGCGGCAGCCAUCACAUUCUGGCUGGCCGUGCUGAAGACUGGGGCGUCUUCCCCUUGGUCCGCAACAAUGCGACGGUUGACGUCACGGGCGCGACGCCUAGCUUCACCCCCGUCUCCGCGGCCGGACGGCUCUCGGACCAGGGCCUCGCGGAGUUGGCGGAGGCGCGUGCGCUCUUCUUCGAGCCUGGCCUCCAGCUCAUCGAGCUGUGUGAGGUCAGGAUGGUGUCCCCCAGCGGGGGCAGAUGCUACCCCACGGGCUCCGGGAUUGGUUCCGGGAGUCGGAUUGGGAGGUGGAGUUGCGUCCUCUUGCCUUGAGGGCCCUGCGCCCCCCUGGGCGCUAUGCGGCGUGCCUCCGACUUCUAAGUUGAAGCACUCUCGAGACGGGUCGUAGCUUUCGUUGUCGGAGUCGGAGUAGCCGAGACAAUAGUUACUGGCUUCCAAGAAACGCAUUAAGGUCUCCGGGUCGCCACAUCCGGAGAAAUCAGCGCCGGACCACCCGUCGUUGCCCGAGGUAAGGUCCUCUGGGUAGGAUGAGGCGGGUGGUGUGGAGACGAGGUCCAGUGUAGACCUCAAGUGGUGCCCGGGAAGUUCCGCGUACGCACUUAAUGAAGUGCUUACGGAAGAGGCGUAGGUAGCGGCGGCAUUCCUGAGCCCAAAAGGUAACUCGGGAGGUGCCGCUGCUGCUACUUCAUCCGCAGGUGGAGGAGGACGGGACAUUGAGGCCCCUUUGUCCCCCUGGCGGGGGACGGGCGCGGGCCGUGCCUUCCCCUUCGAACGGGGUGGGACGGGUGGCCGCGAUAACCCUUUGUUGGUCCUGGGAGCGGAGCUUGACGCCCCGCGAGCCCUUCCUCUAGCGCCUGUUGGGCCGGAGGAGCGGGCGACCUGAUGAGGAAUAUGCGGAGGGAGGACCGGACGGGCCCUGGCCUUAGCGGUGGGGUCGGAGAUCCUAGAUCUCUGACGCCCCCUCCGUGAGCCCCCCGCAUGGUGUCCCGAACGUCUCCCACGCACUGACUGUGGUGGGAUCGGCUCGGGGCUAGGCUCGGCGUCGUUGCGUGGCGGGAGGAGGAUCAUGUCGUAACCGGAGCCGAGGGACAUGAACUCCAAACUCCCAAACAUGAUGAUGGUGCCGCGACGGAGCGGGCGAAAUCCGUCUGCCAUCCGAACCUCCCCAGUAGGGACAGGCAAAACGUCACGCAGAAGGCCCCUACCUGGCGCGCCAACUGUCGGCGUCUAGACUCGAGGUCUAGGCACUGACAAGUAUAAAUCUGCGUGACUUACCAAGCUUGGAUGGUGAUGCAAGUGAGACACAGAGGGUUUAUACUGGUUCGGGCUAAGAAUGCCCUACGUCCAGUGUAGUGGUGGAUUCUGUAUAACCUUGCACCCAAAGGUGCUUGCAGUAGGGGGUACAAGCUGGUUGCGAGAGAGGGCUAAGUCCCAGGUCUCGGCUUGGUGUGGACAGAGUGCGGGCUGCUGCUCUGUGAAAGAGUGUUGUGUGCGUGUUCUGGGCCUGUCUCUCCAGUUAUGAACCCUGGCUCCCCUUUUAUAGUCUCAAGGGAAGGCCAGGUAUUUACAUGAGUAGAUUUCUUUUAUUGAGGGGUGAAAACACAGCCCCGACCCUGUUGAGGCUGGUCCAUCUCGUCCUUGUGGGAUGGUUGACGGCAUGGCUGUUCCUGUAGAGGGUUACCGAACCCUGUAGGGGUCGCGGGGGUCGGAUCGCCGGCACUGCUGCAUAUCCUGUCAACAGUGGAAAUGACCACAAACAGUGGUGCUGAUUUACGUUACCCAUUCCCUUUCUACUGUGCGGUGAUGUGCUACAGUGAACAGGGGUAAGGAUGUAUAGUGACAGAGGUAAGGCUGCAGUGACUGGGGUGGUUGAAACAGUUGUCGCCUUACCCUGCUGCGUUAUGGGGGCCGUCGCAUCCGUCAUGUCGGGGGAAGUCUAGUUGCCCAGGUGGAGUGGGGUCCGGCAUCUGAGCCUGGACGGGGUCGGGCGAGUCGGAACUGGCGUCCGAGGCCCUGAGGGGUCGGGCGAGUCGGAACUUGCGUCCGAGGCCCUGAGGGGUCGGGCGAGUCGGAACUUGCGUCCGAGGCCCUGAGGGGUCGGGCGAGUCGGAACUGGCGUCCGAGGCCCUGAGGGGUCGGGCGAGUCGGAACUGGCGUCCGAGGCCCUGAUGAUCGUGCUACCGAUCCAACUCAACUUGAAACGCGCCCAAGAAUCGUGCUCGUGCCGCGCCCGGCCGCCACUUGUUCAUGCUCGACACUAUAUCUCCGACGUGUUUAGUUGCAAAAUAUUUUGAAAAAUAUGAAUAAUACAAAUUUCGUUUGUAUUUAACAAAUAUUGUGGCUCAAAAGAUUCGUCUCAUCAAUUCCAACCAAACUGUGUAAUUAGUUUUUAUUUUUAUCUAUAUUUAAUACUUCAUGCAUACGUCUAAAUAUUCGAUGAGAAUCUGAAAAAUUUUGCAAAAUUUUUUGAGAACUAAACAAAGCCCAAACCAGAAGAGUUGAAGGGAAGUUGCGCCGGUGAAAAGCUGCAGCAAGGCCCCCAUCUCCUCCUGCAAUCAACCAUCCUGCAGUUGCCAUCACAUCACUAAGGCUGCUAGUGCGACAUCGAUGAACUCAAACCAUGGGCCUUGUUUACUUCCACCCAAAAUCUAAAAACUUUUCAAGAUUUCCCAUCACAUCGAAUCUUUAGACACAUAUAUAGAGUAUUAAAUAUAAAUAUAAAUAAAAACUAAUUGUACAGUUUGGUCGAAAUUUACGAGACGAAUUUUUUGAGCUUAGUUAGUCCAUGAUUAGACAAUAAUUACCAUAAACAAACGAAAGUGCUACAGUGCCGCGAAAAAAUUUCGCCAAAGAACUGAACAAGGCCACACGGGCUGCGAGUACUCGUACACGCACUUGAUUAUAAUAUAUACGCACGGGCCCAGGGAGGGAGGCCGAAAUCACCGAUACAAAGUGAUACUCGCGCGCGGAUAUAUGCGCACGCAGCGACUCUGUUUAGCCAGUUGAGAAAUAUACCAAGUGAAUUUAUCAAGUUGUUGGAGAAGUGUUUUUGAGUUUUUGCUAAAAUAAUAAGAAUACCAAGUAGAUUUACCAAGUUGUUGGAGAUGCUCAUCAUAAAGUCCUUUCUGUUGUUUGCUUUCUCAAUUUACCAUCAUACAAUAAUUAUACUAUAAUCCAGUAAAUCCACCUCUAGUGGCGGCAGCAUGGAUGACAGAGCACAUACGGAAAAUACCAUAGGUCCAUAGUGGUGGCCACAGCUAUACAAGAAAAUAUUGAUCCCAGACUAUCAAUUGGGUGCAAAAUAUUCAGUGCAAAUUACAACAACUGAUAAGUCAUACUGAUAAGUUCAAUCACAGAGACUAAGAUACAAACAUAAUAGUCAAAAACUCAUACAAAAUGAUAAACUUCAGAUUUGUUCGCGCACAAAGUCCUAAAAUUUAUCAUUUUUGUAUGUAUUUUUUACCAAACAAGUUUGCACCUUAUCUUUUACACGAUAAAAAGGCACAUGUAUGGACACAAUAUAGAUGUGCAUCAUUUAUAAAACGUCUAAGUAAGUUUUUUUUUCUAAAAAAGGGGUUUUCAAGUUUACUAUAUGGAGUCAUGGGAUUGUGUGGCCCGAAUAUUUCACCAAGCUGCACCAUCACACAACACAUAUAUGGAGGUGGGGUGAAAACUUUUUUCUCAAAUAUCCAAAAUAUUUACCCAUUACUGUAAUUAGGAAGAAGAGUUGAAUCAUACAAACGACGUACUCUGACAAGCGCCCUAAGAAGUCUACCGGUUACACCAUAGGCAGGACCUUCCAAGGCUACAGAUUCAAGUUUCGAUAUUACAUAAAUGGUACACAACAAAGCUAUGGUCUACACGCUCCUAUUUUGUCAUCCGAGAAGAGCGCUCCGGGGUACAAGCGACUCUUCUCUACCAACCCUAUUGUUGGUUGCUGGAAACAACUUGUCAAGAGCUGCAACUUAUUAUGUUCCCUAUGAAGAUGGUGUCAUAUGCUUGCUUGGACACGGAUGAAGUUGGUGUCGCUUGUGCAUGAUGCCCAUCCUCUUCAUGAGAAGUACCUCACCCCACUUGGAGGCAGGUAUGUGCACCAGCGGUUUAGCGACAAUCUGUCUGCUCCUUCUUCGCAAGGCCUUUUGGUUGUCGUUGUCUGCCUUGGUGGACUCAUGAUCAUGGGUGACUUUCGCUUGAGCUACACCUCCUUGGUAAAUCGUGUGAGGUGUCAAGCGGCCUUGCAUGGCAUAGGCGUCGCAUCAUCGGGAUCGAGCAUGGCUCAUUAUCUGAAUGGUCGUCCUUUGUCAGUGUAGAGGGGUCUGAUGUGCCUUGAACGCCUGGAUGGUCGUCCUACGUUGGCAUAGAAGCAUUGUAAGGUGUUUUGCCAGCUUGAACCCAGGUGGCUAGACCUCACCAUCCUCCCUUGGUGCCUCAACACCUGCGACAAUGGCCUGUCCCAUUUGUGGAGGUGUGUCCCGCUUAGGUGAUAAUGGAGGCGAGUCCGUCGUGCAUUGAGGUGCCAUCAGCAGAGAACAGGAGUCCACCAAUGGAGCUUGAACUUUCUCAGAGGCGGUUGUCGUAGCCAGCAGGCACCCAGGCACUGGUGUGAUUCUUGGUUGGCUCAUGACAAGCGAGAUGGUGAUCUUGUCCAACAUCAGGUCAACCGAGAUGACCCAAGCGGGAGGCCCUUUGCCAUUGCACAGUGCCACCACCAGCAGAUUUGGCUCAAGGAAGUAGUGUGCGACAGUCGAAGUAGCGUCAUCGGUGUAAUUGGUAGGCAUGCCAAGCUGAUGUCUAUUGCCAACUCACUCUAGUGCCAUCGGUGUCAUCUCUGGCUAUGACUGAUGCCAUCAGAGCCUCCCCAUGGCACCCUGCGUGGUCCCAUCCAAGAUCGGUGGAUUGCCGAGGGGUGCGUGCUAGAAGGCCAGUGGGUUGUCAGCAUGAGCUGAGUGUUGAGGCAGGCCACCACCCUUCGCCUCUAACUUGGACUGCUUGUAGUCCCUCACAAGGUGGUGGAAUCCGUGGCAGUGCAGGCAACGCCGUGGCAACUGGCAAGUCACUACUUGGUGCGAGUUGGAGAGAUAGUUGAAACAUAUGUCACGGAGCUAUGCGGGGAUCUUCUGAGCCUAUACGCACAAACCUAGGGCACGACAAGGCUCAACCAAGGCAUCUGCAGGUCGCGUCUCCUGCUAGACUAGGAUCUCCCGCCACCCAUCGACAUUAGGGGUAGAGAUCUGUCUAAGGGCUCCAAGGCGUUGGCAGGUGACACGACCAUCCACUGGUCGAGCAGGCAGGCCAUGCACCUACUAGGGGCAUGGUGGGCUGUGCUUCCUCUGCCUUCACAUAGGUCCAUGUCCAACAUCUGUUCCGUUGUGCCCCAGAACAACGGUUGAACGAGUCUAGGCGCGGACAUGGGAUGCAGUUGCCUGGUUCGCCGGGUGACGAGCGGCCUCCAGGUUGGUUGUAGGGUGUUCAUCAUUGGUCUCCUUGCCAUCAUCGUCUGUCCACCGAUGAUGCUUCGUGCACCCUCCUGAGGAGCAUUUUAGGAAGAAUGGUGUCGUGACCGUUGAGAGGGAGGAACUUGGGGGCAGCCAGCGGCACCAUGGCAGGCCUCAAAGGCCCAUACUUGGGCCCAGUUAGCGUGGCGAUGAUGUCGGUAGCAGCGGGUCUAGGGCUCGUGCCAGCUCCAACUUCUGUGUGCUGAGCCAUCAUGGUGGUGGCAGCAUCAUCUGCCCUAAGGUGGCGGAGGUGAUGUCGACGCGCUAGAUCUAGCCUUCUCACAUGUGUGUGGGGUGACCAUGGCGGCAUCACCUCUCUCCAGUGGCAUAGAGGCAGGAGGGUGCUGGUGACGAAGCCAACCAUCGACACUCGUCGUGAGGUCUCUAGUGGCGGCGGCGGCUUUAGCGCCGGUGUGGAUGGCGUGGGCCCUAUGGCGGAGGCAGCGGCCAUGUGGUAUCCUCGCAAGCGGCUAAGGCAUCUUGGUGCACGGGUUGGUUGGAGUCGAAGGGGGGGAGCCGGUCUCCGGCGUGGGGACACGGACCGGGAGCAAUAUAGUCUGGGAGGUGGCGGAGUCCGCUCCAGCGCCGGAACUCACGAGGGCUGAUGGGGAGGGGAGGGGAAGGGAGGGGGAGUGAGAGGGGGCAGGCAGUAAGGAAAUUCUAUUAUCAAAUAUCAUAGAUGGGGAAGUGUAGUUGUCUCUUGAAAUAGACCUUGUAACUUUGGGCAAGAGAAUAUUGCACAGCUAUAUAGCAAGACAAUAGGAUUAGUUACAACUCCACUAGACUCACUCACUGUGUGUAUGGGUGAUGAAAUCCUGUCAGCCAAAGGAUGACUGAAGCUGCACACAAUGUGUGAAUGCUCUCUUCUUAAGUAAUCCAUUUAGACCUUGUUUAGUUCGUGGAUGAUGUUUCAUGGGAUAUCAGAAGGGGUAUUUGGAUACUAAUUAAAAACUAAUUACAUAACUCGACUGGAAACCACGAGAUAAAUUUAUUAAGCCUAAUUAAUCCAUCAUUAGCACAUGCGUGUUAUGGUAGCAAUUCUGACUAGUUAUGGACUAAUUAGGUUUAAAAGAUUUGUCUCGUGGUUUCCAUGUAAACUGUGCAAUUAAUUAUUUUUAUCUAUAUUUAAUGCUCCAUGCAUAUGUCCAAACAUUCGAUGGGCGGAAUAAAAAGUUUUUAAGUGGGAACUAAACAGACGUAAUUCUCUGCAACUGCAUUCAAUGGACCUGAUGAAGCAAUUUAACUUAUUUUUCCAAUGUAUUCACGUGGGACUAUGGUCCUCUAGCGAGUCAGCCCCAAGUAUGAUAUCAAAGCCGACUGAGAAUCUGGUUGUCUACAUGCAUGCACAACGAAAUUGUCUGUAUUGGGAAUUUUGAGGUAAAAAAUGAGCUAAGAGGAUAACCUAUUGGCAAACGUCAACAAUGCAGUGUAGUCGCCCAAAUCAAUUUUGCAGUAUGCUAUUUCUGUCACUACAUACCGCAACAUCAGGGGGUGUUUUUGGAUGUAGGGACUAAGGGUCUGUUUGGUACAGUUUAAAACAGUUUCAUGAGCUGUUGUGAGCUGUUUUUUUUUGUCAAACACUUAUUUCCAAAACAGCUUCAUGGGUGAAGCUGUUUUUUCUCUCCUCUCGCAAAGACAUAAGUUGGGAUGAAGCUGAAAAAAUAGUUUAUUGCAGCUCUCUCUCUCAUUUCUCUCUCUCAACUAUGUAUGAAGUAGUUGGUGAAGUUAUUUUGCCAAACAUUUUUUCCAAAACAGCUCAACUUCAUCUAGAAAGUCACUCAUGAUGCUAUUUUCUAAAAAACAGCUUUACUAGUGAAGUCGAGCUGUGCCAAACAAACCCUAAGUUUAACAUGUGCACAUCGAAUGUUAUAUUGAGUGUUGCAUGGGAUGUUCGGAUCCUAAUAAAAAACAAAUUACAAAUUCCGUUAGGACUCCGCAAGAUAAAUUAAUUAAGUCUAAUUAACCAAUCAUUAGCAUGUAUUUACUGUAGCACUACCUUGUCAAAUUAUAGACUAAUUAGAUUUAAAAAAAUUUGUCUCAUAAAUUAUUUGUAAUUUGUGUAAUUAGUUUUUUAGUCUAUAUUUAAUAAUUCAUAUAUGUGUAUAAACAUCUGAUGUGAUCAGUGGCGGAGCGUGCAGUCAAGCAUGGGGAGGCAGUUAAGCUAGUACUGUUGAAAUUCAAAGUCUGGAUCCAGAAAAGCAACUUCUCUUGAGACAUGAGAGACUUUGUUGUCUAGUACGCGUGAGGCACAACACCUGACAAAGCACAAAUGCAGACUUUGCAAUGAUCAGCGCUUGCAGGAAGCUGGGGCAACAAGCGCCCAGCUUCGCCUCCACUACCUUUCGCUAGUGGAUGUGAUAGGGACUAAAUUUUAGUUGGGAACCCAAAGACCACUAAAAUUCGUCAGCUAUUGUUCUCCUUUAGUUCAGAGUUUCUUGAUGAACGAAAACUGAAAAGUUUAGCUCAAACUGUUUUCAGCUACUUACUAGAUUUUUUUGCCUGCAUAGUCGUGUGCAAGUAGAAUUUAUGACUAAGUGGAUUGUCCUCCUACAUUGCAAACUUGCAGUAGUAACAAGCAAAUAUUUUUCUUGGCAACUACACCAAAUUUGAGAACCUGAAAUAUCUCGGCGUGACACAAUAAAGAAGGUCAUCUAGUUAAGUUUUGAGUAGUACAAGACCAUAAUCUGCAAGUAUACUUUGGCGUCUCAUUAACGUCAUCAGUAGCAAGGGUCUUUGCACAUGGAAGAAUAAGGCUCAAUGUGUGACUUUACAUAGCACAAUAUAUAAAUUUUUCAUGCCAUAAAUACUAGACACUUCAGUUUGUGUGUCUGCUUAUUUCUGGUCUGAAGCUCCGAACAGUAAUUUUGAUAUAUGGGAAUUAAACCUCAUGGAAUGGCAACAAGACCACGUUUUACAUGCAUGAUACGCAUGGAUUCACUCGAAUCAUGCCAGGUUGCCAGUCCGCCGGACAAAGCCUUAUUUAUUUUGCAUGAAAAAAAAAGGAACUGGAAAGAAAACACAAUCUCCGUACAUAGAAAAUAUGUAUAAGGCCACCCGGGAAGGGGAGUCGCACCCCAAUCCAGAAAAUUUAGUUGUAGGCGUCGGGGUUGGCGACGAGGUAGGCCUCGGCACCCUUGAAAAUAGCAGUGAGUGCCUCCUUGGCCUUGGCUUCCUCGUCCUUCUCGUCCACGCCCGGCAGCAGCUUGUAGGUCGACUCCACCUUCACCACGCUGCCGCCGUCGGCCGCGGGCUCCACCUUGAUGUGCGACGCCGCGGUCUCGACGGCAACGCCUAUGCCGCCGCCCUCGACGAGCGUGUUCUUGCACUCGCACUUGUCCAUGUCCAGGAAAUCGAGCCUCUCCUUCAUGAAGCUGAACGGCAUGACUGCAAAAGCGAUCGCACGUCAGGCGCUAGCUGUUUGAUCGAUGAUCAGGCGAGAACAUCAUGUUGGUCUGGGCAUGCUGCGGACACUUACAUGAGGUGAAGUUGAACUGCCUGACGCUGCCAACGCCGCCAUCGCCCUCCACGGGGUGGGCGCUGGUGACGACGUGGGAAGCGACCUUGGGCGCCAGGUUGUGCCAGUCAAUAACGGCGGCGCGGAACAGGCGUGGCGCGGCCACCGGCGAAGGGAUCUCGAGGGUCCAGCUGUUGGCGGAGGCCAUUACGACUUCAGUGAUGCCGAUCGACUAAACUUGUGGUAGCUGAAGCUGCUUAGGUGCUCAGCUCUGAGCGUGGCAGUGCUGCUGGUGGUGGUUCUAGGAUGGCAGCUUCUCUGCUUGCGUUGCCAUGAGAGUGGCGGGCUGAGGGCUUUAAAUAGGCCGUUAUGGUCCGUCCCGUGAGGAUGAGAUCGACGCCCGGGAGUCGUCGGCGGCUCUUCCCACUUGGGUUGGCUUGGCACGGCAUCGUCUCGUCGCCUCGGCGGUCCAUUAGUCCAUUAUUAUAAUAUAUGUUGCCGGGGUUGCAGACAAAUGUUAGGAAACGUGCUGUCACUCCGUCAACGUUCAACAUCAAGAAGGUGCGGAAGUAGAGCGUGUGAGGAAGGACCGAAGGAGCCGCCAGGGGUCCACCGAUGCCACCCCUGUUAUCAAUAAUCAAGGAGAUCUGCGAUGCAUAGAAAUAAUUUGUAUUGUUUUCUACAAACUUUGGUAUUUAUAUCUCAGAUAUCUGCUUCCAUAGAAAUAUCUAAAAUAUAUUACUUUAUCUAAUAAAUUACAUUGUGUGUUAGCAUUUUCUCAAAGUAUUUUAAAGGGUGUUAAAUUAGCACGCAAGGUUCUAAUGCAUAUGUAUAAUCAACAACACUUAUUGGCACUUGAUAACCGCUUUAACCAUGAUUUUCUCCUCUUCAUGGUACGACUAUCUAUCCUAAACCCAAUUAUAUCCUCUAUAGUGUCUUGAUUAGUGAAACACAAAUAGCUUUAUCAUAUAUCUUUGUCUUGAGCCUAUUUUUGUUUCUCUCUUUCUUCUUUUCCAAGUUGGAGUACAUGAUCUUCACAUUUGGCCACCUCUAUCAUCAUGGAUGUCAUCAUCUAGCUCCACCAUUAGUGUGUACCAAUCCUAUCUCAUAUACACUUAGAACAAUGAUUACUACACUUAGGUUUCACUAAUUAUUUAAAACCAAAAUAGCGCUUUCACAUAUCAAGUUUAAUCACACACAACAUCUGCUUCUUGCCCUUUUCUCUUUCAUGAAAUGCAAGCAUUCAUACACCGUCGGUAUGUUGUCCGUAAUGAGUCUCCUUAGCACAAACGUUGACUAUUCUUUCGAAAUCACCUUGGGUAAAAUAAUCUGUAGUCUGUUUGCCACUGUCUUAGAAGCAAUCUUGUAUAUUACAUUACAUAGACUGAUAGGUCAAAACUGCCCUAGCUUGACCGGCUUCUCCACUCUUGGGAUCAGUACUAUGCAUAUGCUAUUUAUCAGGGAGGAUCAUCCUCCCCCUCCAACACACGCAACAACACAACACACACAUCCUCGUUACAUAAGUCCCAAUGCAGCUGAAAAAAUGUCUUCAUCUUGAACAUUUAAAGCACAAUCCUGAUCUCCUCCUUUCAUAUACAAGCAAGCGUCCUGACUACUUGUAUCACUCUUUUGGUGUUGCACUAUCGUUAUUAGCUUUAUUAUUAACUCCUUUCGUAUCCAAUCUCCAGAAUUAAGCAAAGGUUUGUUUGCUUUCUCAAUUUACCAUCAUAUGAUUAUUAUACGAUAAUCCAAUAAAUACAUCUCUUUUAUUCAUCCUGCAAAAGGUCUAGUGGUGAGAAUAUGGACAGAGCUUAUAAAGUGAAUAUACAAUCAUAGUAUAUGUACUUCGCCACUAAAGUUAAUAUACAAAGAAAUUGGAGGGUGAUUCAAAGAAAUUGGAGAGUGAAUCUCUUCUUUCAAACCUCCGAAGAAACUACUCACAAAGUAAACAUCAUCAUAGGAGCUAUUGUACAAUAGAAUUUGAUGCGCAAGCUGUUCAAACUGCUCAAAGUACUCUGUGACCGAAGUAAGUUUAUCCAAUUGUUUCAUGCAUAAUUGAUAUUGGUCACGGUCAAAAUAACUGCAAACUGCAUCACAAGAGCAGGCCAAGAUGUGAAACAACCAUGCAAAUCUGCAGAUUGUAACCAAGUAGCAGCGGUCCUCCAAAAUUCAAUGUGGCAAACCUGGCUUCAAUGUCUUGCUGAUAGAGUACACUUCAAAAUAGAUCUCACAAUGAUCUACAACCACAAAUUGUCACUAUCAAAUUUGGGGAAAUCUGAUUUGAGCUUUAGGCUAACCCAAGAUGUAUGAGAAUACAAAUGUUGUGAAAAAUCCAUGUAUGACAUAGGGUGUUCUAGAGGCAUACCCAUGACCGGGUUUGACGGGUAGGGUCCAAGGAUCCCUCUUUCAACAUCCCAAUGAGACAAUUCAUGGAGAUGCUCCUGAGCCACUCCAUGGAUGACACAAAUGAACCUGUCCCCCAUGUUUAGAGCCAAGUUGAGGUCCAACGCACCAUGCUACAGCGGGCUGAAGCAGAGUAGCCGAGGCGACGGAGGCAGUAGUGGUGGCGGUGGUCAUGCCUCUAACUUUUGAACCCAUCUAGUCAUCUUCGAUGUGGUCUGCAAUAGCAUCCCCAACGAUGAAUCUGCGGUGGUCUUCCAUGAAUCGAGGUUGGUGAACUUGCCAAGGAGCUGCUAAAGUAGCUUGAUACCCUAGAACUAGUUGUUGGUAAAAAAUCAGCCUACUCUAAGUACCACUUGUGAUGAACUAAGAUAGCUUAGGAAGAAUUAGACAUAGAUUCAACAAGAAUUGGAUAGAAAUUAGAGGAAUUUUAGCGCGGCGGGAGCCCGCGUGGAGGACCCUAGUUUUAGAGUUUGGGUUUCAAUUAACAAAACAUGUUUGUUACACGCUAUUUUGGCCCCUUUUAAGGCAACAUAGUGUCGGCUUUCCAUUCAGUUUGGGUCCACCUGUCAUUCCCUUAAGCUUUCAUGUCCACUAUAUGUUCCUCUUUUUUUGUUGGAUCCCAAACAUCUACGUCGGGCCAGCUUCCAUCACCGUCUACACAUAUGCCGCGGAGUCAUAACAAAUGCGUACUCUCACCUUUGUAGUGAACACUAUAACUUGUGGAGUCUUCAUAUUAUUCAAAGGCAACUGCUCCAGAACCCUUCCUUUUAAAAUUAUACACGCAUCUCAAAGCAUCAAAUCUAAUUAAAUAAAUGUUUUUUCUUAAUUAUUAUUACCUAUCUAGGUGUUGCAUGGGCCUGGCCCUUCCACGUCCAGCCCAAACCCAAUCCAUUUUAAUAUCAUCUAGAUCUGGAAAAAGAAUUCGAACGUUUGGAGUGCUUAUGCUGAGAUGACGCAGCUACUCUGAUGGGUCUCGCCGAGUCGCACAUGACGCCCCCUUGUCAUCCUCCAUUACGCUGAUGACGACACAAUGACACUCCUAUCCAACGCGGGCGGCGAUGAUGACAAAUACAUGUGAUGUUCAUCGGGUUUUACAGCACGGCAUUAUGAUCAACUCCACUCCACCUGAUCCUGCGACGAUAUGUGUAGGACACAGGUUACGAUGGGCUUCAACGGAACUGGUGGCUUCUUGCGGAACUCAGGGCUGUUUAGUUCUGAAAAAUUUUGCAAAGUUUUUAAGAUUUCUUGUUAUAUUAUUUUUUGCAGUACAUGUAUGAAAUAUUAAAUAUAUAUAGAUAAAAAAUAAUUAAUUAUAUAGUUCGUCUAUAAUUUAUGAGACGAAUCUUUUGAGAAUAGUUAGUCUAUAAUUUAAUAAUAAUUGUUAAAUACAAACGAAAGUACUAUAGUAACCGAAACCAAAAUUUUUCACCAAAUAAACAGCUCCAAGCGAAUCGAACGCGCACCAGGGAUAGGAAAGAGAUUAGUUAGGCACGGGCUGGGUUGGAUAUGGUCAGACUCAUGAGGGGCCCAUGUGACAAAGAAUUAAGAAAAAUAUUUAGUUCAUCUGAUUGCCUGUUUUAAGAUCCGCGCAAUUUUAAUAAAGAAGAGUAUUGUAGCAGUUCUCUUAUUCGAAAAGUAAUUUCAAAUUUCAACAACAACAUAUUCUGCAGAAUGAAAACUCUCCAAAUAAAUAUCUAUUCUAAAUGAGCAAACAUUUCUUAUUCUGUCAAACUUGCAUAGGAUUCCAAAACAUAAUACCUCGUAUAAUCUAUGUAUGCCCUUUUCCUUCCCACAUAGAAAAGAACCAUGAGGGUAUACAUAAUCACACAAACAAAAAGCAUCACAUACCACUUAUAGCAUCUCAAGUCCACACACCACACACUGCAUAGGGCAGCUUUAUUUUGUUUUGAAUGAAAAAAAAAGAGGAAAACUCCAGGAAAGAAAAAGAAAAAUUAAAUCGAAACUUCAGGAAGGGGAAUCGCAUCCGAAUCCUCUGAUUUAGUUGUAGGCGUCGGGGUUGGCGACGAGGUAGGCCUCGGCACCCUUGAAAAUGGCGGUGAGUGCCUCCUUAGCCUUUGCUUCCUCGUCCUUCUCGUCCAUGCCCGGCAGCAGCUUGUAGGUCGACUCCACCUUCACCACGCUGCCGCCGUUGGCUGCGGGCUCCACCUUGAUGUGCGACGCCGCGGUCUCGAUGGCAACACCGAGGCCGCCGCCCUCGACGAGCGUGUUCUUGCACUCGCACUUGUCCACGUCCAGGAAAUCGAGCCUCUCCUUCAUGAAGCUGAACGGCAUGACUGCAAGAGCGAUCGAUCCCACGUCAGGCGCUAGCUGUUUGAUCGAUGAUCAAGCGAGAACAUCAAGUCGACUGGGCAUGCUGCGGACACUUACAUGAGGUGAAGUUGAACUGCCUGACGCUGCCAACGCCGCCGUCGCCCUCCACGGGGUGGGCGCUGGUGACGACGUGGGAAGCGACCUUGGGCGCCAGGGUGUGCCAGUCAAUAACGGCGGCGCGGAACAGGCGUGGCGCGGCCACCGGCGAAGGGAUCUCGAGGGUCCAGCUGUUGGCGGAGGCCAUUACUUCAGUGAUCGGCCGAUCGACUAAACUUGCGCUAGACGUCGGUGCUAGGCUCUGUGCGUGGCAGUGCUACUUGCAGCUUCUGCUUGUGUUGCCACGAGAGUGGCGGACUGAGGGCUUUAUAUAGGCAGUUACGGCGGGGGCUGGUGGCGUCCCGUGAGGAUGAGAUCGACGCCCCGGGAGUCGUCGGCGGCUCUUCCGAGUUGUGUCGGCUUGGCACGGCACCGUCACUCAGUCGCUCGUCGGUCCAUUAGUCCAUUAUUAUAAUAUACUAUGUUGCCGGGGUUGUAGACCAAUGUCAGGAAACGUGCUGCCAUUCCGUCAACAUUCAACAUCUAGAAGGUGCGGAAGCAGAGCGUGAGGAAUAAGGACCGAAGGAGCUGCCAGGGGUCCACCGAUGCCACCAUCGGCACCAAGGAGAAGCAGCCGUCGGAGUCGGGGUUGUAGAGGGCUGUCACGUCCGUUGUCGUGGUCGGGGUGAGGGAGGGCUGCCGGAUCCGCCGUAGCCACCUGCUUCCUGAGAUCCAUGGGAGAGGACCCGCCGCUGGCCGAGGUUGAGGAGCUGCCGCCUCUGUGCGGCCAACUUCACCACGGACCUCUGCCGCAGCGGGAGCUCGCGGAGAAGGGAAGGGAUGGUUGGGGAAGGUGUGGGUCCCAUCAUAAUUUGCGAAUAAUUUGACAUUUUUUUAAUACUUGUAGUUUAUAGUGACAAUUUAUAUUUUACUAGUAAAUAUGUCCGUGCGUUGCAACGGGAUAUAUAAGUUUUAGUAUUGGAGAGAACAAAUGACCAUAAAAAUUUUUCAUUAUUUAAUAAAUAGUAUAGUAGGCUACCAUAGUUAAAAUUUAUGGCACUAAAUCCACAAUACUAAUAUAAGUUGUUUGGGCGCCCUUCCUAAAAAUUAUGAUGUUUCUAGUUUCAAAUUUUAUUACCUUGAAUGAAGGUAAUCAGUUUUCUAAUUUUUUUUUUAGUAGCAUCUCUAUUUGCUUUCAUACCAAAAUUGUGAUCUUGUGGGUCUCCACAUCAAUUUUUUUCUUUGGGAAAAACUGCCAGCUCAAGCGAUUCUCGCUGCACGUGGCACAUGCGACCUGAUGCUGCUUGGUCUGGCAUGGGAUAGCUCGCUUGAGCUCGCUGUGCGCAAGCUGCGUGAAGCGGUUUGAAGCUCAGGUGGAUUCGAUUUUUGGAACGUGGUGCUUCUUCAAUUCAGGGCUCCAAGCCUCGUCUCCGGUUAAAUAGCAGAAGUAUGCUCGUUGUCUCUGUCUCGUCUCGCCACUAUCCUGUUCCACACCUAAAGUGAUGGCACCCUCGUCCUCUGUCCGUCCGUGUGCUGAGAAUCUCGGAACCCGUGGUCAUGUGAUGUGGGGACGAAGAACCCAGCCAAUAGCUUGGUCAACUUGGGCAACCACGGACAGCGCAAAAUCGUCCGUGUCAGCCCGGCUCAGCCCAACUACAGCCCACUAUCCCACCAGUAUAUAAUGCUUCAUCCAAAAUAACCCUAGGUCUAAUAUUUACUCACCAGCCGCCGCCACACCUGUGCACACACCUGCUCCUCUUCUCCUCCACCCAUGGGCGUCCUCUCCAUCCCUGCUCUAGUGAGGUUGUGUGGAGAUUGCCCCAAAACUUUGCUCGCUUGGAUCUCUAUGUCUCUCCACCCUUGCCUUGCUCUCUGACUUGUAGCUCCACUCAUGGACGAUUGGGGCUUAUCGAGCUAUUGGGCAACACGUCCAUCACCGUGCUCUUGUGCCACGCCGGCGGAUCCCCACGUCGACAGCCAGCGGCGUCCUCGAAUUCUCCCUAGCGCCACCUAGAAGAUCUCCCACGCCAUCAUCCUCAUCAAGGGCGUCGACAGCUUGCUACUAUUUGUUUCGAUUUUUUGCGCUGUUAGAUUUUAUUUCUACUUGAUUCGAGGGCAGAUUCCAGGAGUGCUAAGACUAUCUACAACAAUCAUCAGGGUAGCGCUACAAGUAAAAGGUUCCAUACCUAUUUUUAGUCUUCUCCAGCAACGAGACCUAAAAGAAAACACUCUCUGCAAAUGGGUCUCGAGGAGAGAGAAUACCCAAAUUUGGGUUAUGCCUCUCCUGAUACCUAAAAUGGGUUUUCUGUAUGGGUACUCUGUUGGAGGCUAUAGUUAUUGCGUUGGAGACCCAUUUUGGGUUUGUGUUCCCAAAUGGGUCUCCUAUUGGAGACAACCUAAGCAGAGAGGAUUUGUUAUUAUAUAGAAAACAGAGGUAGAUCCAAACGAAAAUCUUGGGCUUCUUUUUCGAUUUGGGUUCGAUUUGUAAUUCUUUUUGUUAUUUGACUUGUUGGCUUCUCCUUCCUUUACUUGUUUGCCCUAUUACUUUGUACAUGUAUAGGUUCUACAUGAACUUUGUUUCCAAGCUCUACUGAAAACGUAUAAGAUUAGGUAAAAGGAGGCUUGGCCGUGAGUCAAAGCCGGUACAGGCAAGAUGCCAGACGAAGGCGGACAGGGCGAGCGGACAGAAAAAAGGGCAGAAAAAAAAGACAGGAUGAAAUUUUGGCUCUUUAUAGAUAGGUAUAGAUUCUGAAAACUUUGGCACAUAUGUAUCUGAGAUUUGCAAUCUAUAGAAAUACCUAAAAUACAUCACUAUAUCCAAUAAAUUAUAUUGUAUUUUUAAAGGUAUUAAGCACACUAGGUUCUAAUGCAUAUGCAUGAUCAACAACACCUAUUGGCACUUGAUAACCGCUUUAAUCAUGAUUUUUCUAUCUUCAUAGUAUGGUCCUAAACCCAACUACAUCCUCUAUGAUGUCUUAAUUGGCGAAAUAAAAAUGACUCUAUCAUAUACCUUUGCCUUGAGCCCAUUUUUCUUCUCUCUUUCUUCUUUCCAAUUUGGAGUACUUGAUCUUUACAUUUGCCAACUCCAUCAUCAUGGAUACCAUCAUCUAGCUCCACGUGUACCAAUACUAUCUCAUAUAUAGAAUAAUAAUUUGUACACUUAGUUUUCAUCAAUUAUCCAAAAUCAAAUUAGCGUUUUCACAUAUCAAGUUUCAUCACACAACAUUUGCUUUCUCUUGCCUUGUUCUCUUUCAUGCAAUGCAAGCAUACAUACAUCAUCAGUAUGUUGUCUGUAAUGAGUCUCCGUGCCACAAAUAUUGAUUGUUCUUCCGAAAUCACGCUGGAUAAAAUAAUUUGCAAUUUGUUUGCCACCAUCUUAGAAGCAAUCUUAUAUAUUACGUACUGAUAGGCUGAAACUGCCCUAGCUCGACCGGCUUCUCCACUUUUGGGAACAAUACUGUACAUGUGAUAUUUAUCAUAGAAGGAUCAUCCUCCCCCUCCAACACAGGCAACAACAUAACACACACCUUCUCACCACAUAAGUCUCAAUGCCGCUGAAAAAUGAGCAGGAAAACCAUCCGACCCCGGUGUCUUCAUCUUGAACAUUUGAAAAGGCACAAUCCAAAUCUCCUCCUUUCGUAUACAAGGCGAGCAUCCUGACUACUUACAUCACUCUUUUGGUGUUGCACUAUCAUUAUUAGCCUUAUAAUUAAGUCCUUUCCUCUCCAAUCUCGAGAAUUAACUAAUUAAGUAAAGGUUUGUUUGUUUUCUCAAUUUACCAUGAUAUGAUUAUUACACUAUAAUUCAAUAAUACGCUUCUUUUUAUUCAUCAUAUAAAUAUAUCUAGUGGCGAGACCGCGAGAGUAUGGACAAAGCCCAUACGAAAACUAUCAUAGUGGUGGCAGAGGCAUGAGAAAUUAUUCAGUGCAAACUAUCAAUUAGGUGCAAAAUUAUUUAGUGCAAACUAUCAAUUGAGUGCAAACAUAAACCCUCAGUAGAUGUACUUGGCCACUAAUGUUAAGAUACAAAGAAACUGGAGGGUGAUGCAAAGAAAUUGGAGAGUGAAUCUCUUCUUUUAAACCUCCAAAGAAAUUAGUCACAAAGUGAACAUCAUCAUAGAGCUAUUGUACAACAGAAUAUGAUGUGCAAGCUAUUCAAACUGCUCAAAGUACUCUUGACUGAAUUAGUGUACCGAUGUUUAUUCCAUUGUUUCAUACGUAACUGAUAUUGGUCAUGAUCAAAAUAAUUGCAAACCGCAUCACAAGAGCAGGCCAAGAUGUGAAACGACCAUGCAAAUCUGCAGAUUGUAACCAAGUAGCAGCGGUCCUCCAAAAUUCAAUGCGACAAACCUGGGCUUCAGUGUCUUGCUCAUAGAGUCAUCUCACAAUGAUCCUUCCACAACCAUAAAUUAUCAUUAUCAAAUUUUGGAAAAUCGAUUUGGGCAUCAGACUAACCCAAGGUGUAUGAGAAUAGGAAUAUUGUGAAAAAUCCAUGUACGACAGAGGGUGUUCUAGAGGCACGGAUGGGGCCCAAGGAUCCCUCUGUCAACAUCCCGAUGAGGCAAUUGAUGGCGAUGCUCCUGAACCACUCCAUGGAUGACGCAGAUGAACCUGUCCCAUGUUUGGAGCCAAGUUGAGGUCUAACAAACCAUGCUGCCGCGGGAACGGUUGAAGCAGGGUAGUCGGGCGGUGGAGGCAGUGGUGGUGGUAGUGGUCGCGCCUCCAACUUUUGAAGCCAUCUAGUCGUCUCCGAUGUGGUCUUCCAUGACUCGAGGGUGGAGACCUUGUCGUUGUUGGAGUAGCUUGAUACCUUAGAACUAGUUGUUGGUCAAGAAUCAACCUAAUCUAAGUACCAAUUGCGAUGAACUAAGAUAGCUUAGGAAGAGUUAUAUGUAGAUUCAGCAAGAAAUGGACAGAAAUCAGAGGAAUUUUAGCGCCGCGGGAGCCCGCGAGGAGGAACGUUAGUUUUAGAUCGAGUUUGGGUCUCAAUUAAUAAAACAUGUUUGUUACAUGCCAUUUUGUCCCCCUUUGCGGCAACACAGCGCCGACUUCCCAUUUUGGGUCCACCUAUCAUUUCCCUUGGGCUUCAUGUCCACUAAUUAGCGACUAUGUUCCUCUUUCUUGUUGGAUCCAAACACCUCUGUUUCCAUACCAUCUUCCAUCGCCGUCUACACAUAUCCUACGAGUCAUGACAAAUGCCUACUUCUCUCACCUUUGUAGUGAACACUGUAACUCCUAGAGUCUUCAUAUUAUUCGAAAAAUCAUUUCAAAUUUCAACAAUGACAUAUUCAGCAGAAUGAAAAGUCUCCAAAUAUCUAUUCGAAAUGAGCAAACAUUUCUUACAGUCAAACUUGCAUAGGAUUCCAAAACAAAGUACCUCGUAUAAUCUAUGUAUGCCCUUUUUCUUCCCACAUAGAAAAGAACCAUGAGGGUAUACAACUAUACAUAAUCACACAAACAAAGCAUCACAAACCACUUAUAACAUCUCGUGUCCAUACACCACACACUGCAUAGAGCAGCUUUAUUUUAUUUUGUAUGAAAAAAAGAGGAAAACUCCAGGAAAGUAAAAGAAAAUUAAACCCGAACUUCAGGAAGGGGAAUCACAUCCCAAUCCACAGAUUUAGUUGUAGGCGUCGGGGUUGGCGACGAGGUAGGCCUCGGCAGCCUUGAAAAUGGCGGUGAGUGCCUCCUUGGCCUUGGCUUCCUCGUCCUUCGCGUCCACACCUGGCAGCAGCUUGUAGGUCGACUCCACCUUCACCACGCUGCCGCCGCCUGCCGCGGGCUCCACCUUGAUGUGCGACGCCGCGGUCUCGAUGGCGACGCCGAUGUUGCCGCCCUCGACGAGCGUGUUCUUGCACUCGCACUUGUCCACGUCCAGGAAAUCGAGCCUCUCCUUCAUGAAGCUGAACGGCAUGACUGCAAGAGCGAUCGAUUCCACGUCAGGCGCUAGCUGUUUGAUCGAUGAUCAAGCGAGAACAUCAUGUCGACUGGGCAUGCUGCGGACACUUACAUGAGGUGAAG
rnacentral:lncRNA from 1 species